rnacentral:lncRNA from 1 species
AUCCAAAAAAUAUUCAUUUGGGCAUACCAAACCAACACAGCUCAAGAGAUACCAAAAAGCAACUUGGCUUAAACUAAGGCAGAAAUGGCCCACGCGGCUCUGCAGGAGGAGAAUCGACUUGGCAGUCAGCUCGGGUGCACAACUCACAAAAGGAGAAAGAAAUCGGCUGUGACAAGCGCGAUUUACGAAGGAGUAGAUAAGUGGCUCUGUGAUGCACAGAUCGACUUGCUCAAGCAAGGGUUCGUUUAACGAUUGCCGGCAAUGAGAUCUGGGUGGCACGAGACAGAACUUAACGACGGUAAGGCUUAAUGAAAACGUUCAAAAACUAGAUGAUUGAUGAAAUGAAAAGAGAGAGAUUCCUCGGCUUCACCUACAUGCAAACGUAGGAGGUGGGGGGUGCAUAGUCGGCUUGUGCGACUUCGUCACUAAGGAACAAAGAGGAAUGACGGUGUCAACAAACGACGAGCGGUGAUCCUUGCAACGGAGCACGAUGGCGGCUGGGGUUUGUGAAGAAUUAAGAAGAUGAUGAAUAGUUCCCUUUUUUGCACGUUUCACAAGGGUUAAUUAUAUAUAAUAAUAAUAAUGAUAUUUAUUAUUAUUAUCAUUAUUCCUUUUCUUUUGCUAAUUAACAAAUUAACCAAAAUCAAAUCAUACUUUCUCUCCUCGUUAAAUACCCAUCAAACCAAACUUUUUACUUUCCCCAAAAAUACAAUAUCUUUCCAAAUAAUUAGAUUUUCCACAAUAUAAUUAUUUUCUCUCUAAAAAAUAUCUUUCCUAAAAAAAAUCAAUAAUAUAUUAUUCUACCCUUCCAUAACUUAAUUAAUUAUAUACAUAUAUAAUUAACCAAUAAACUUAAAUCUCACCAAAAUUUUCAAUAGUAUAAUUAAUUAAAUAAUCUUCCACUGAACAUUCAAUUAAUCACAAUUUCCACAAUACUAAAAAAAUUAUAACACCCAAUUAAAUCCAUCAUAAAUUAAAUUAAACUAAGAUAAUUAAAAAAAUAAAAUUACCUUAAUUUUUGGGUGUUACAGUUUUUGAAUUUAAAUAAUUUUUAGACGUAACCAGCCUUAAGGACAGCAUGUUGUACAAGUUAUCGACCCUACUGCACCUGUCACUCAUGCAUACCUUGCUGCCAUGGAGCAAAUGUACAUAGACUUAUUGUUCAAAGUAUUGGCACAGUGACAACCUACCUAGGAUAUCCAAACAACUCAUGUACGGACACCGGCUGCAAGUGUUUAGAUCCCAGUUGCGGGAGUUUAGGCCCCAAUUGUAGCAUAUAACCUACUUGAUAUGCUUUCAGCAGAAGCCAAACACCUGAGGGAUUUCAGGAAGUAUAACCCUCGGACUUUCGAUGGAUCCUUGGCAAACUCCACCAAGGCGCAGAUGUGGUUGAGUUCGGUGAAGACUAUCUUUCGUUACAUGAAGUGCUCCAAUGACCAGAAAGUUUAGUGCGUCGUGUUCUUACUGACUGAUAGAGACAGAGGCUAGUGGAAGUCCACAUAGAGGAUGUUGGGUGGAGAUAUGAGUCAGAUCACCUAAAAGUAGUUUAAGGAGAAUUUUCAUGCCAAAUUCUUCUUCGUGUCAAGAGUUCUUAAAGUUGGAGCAAGGCAAUAUGGCCAUAGAGGAGUAUGAUCAAGAAUUCGAUGUGUUAUCCCGAUUUGCACCUGAGUUAGUGAGAACUGAGACUGAGAGAGUUGACAAGUUUGUCAAAGGCAUUAAGUAGGAGAUCCAGGGUUUCGUUAGAGUCUUUAGACUAGCUACCUAAGAUGAUGCACUACACAUGACAGUGGAUUUGAGUUUGCAUGAGAGGAUAAAGAUGGCCAAGGCUGUAGAGAAUGGUCCAAUUGUAGGGUAGAAAAGGAAGGCUUAGCAGUAGCCUACAGUAGCACCACAAAGGAAUUUGAGAUUAGGUGGUUUGUUCCAGCAGCUUAGACAGUAGGUUGUUGAGGCAGGCAAAACCUUGAAGGAAGUAUACAUGUGUUCUAAUUGUGAAAGGUCUCAUUCAGGUCAUUGCCUAAUAGGAAGUAGUAUAUGCUACAAGUGUAGGCAACCUGACAUAUAUAUAGCUGAUAAUUACCCUCAGAAAUAGUUUGAACCUAUCUCGAACUAGACUUCUACAUCUCGAUAGGGGUGAGUUUUUGCCACUAAUCAACAGGAGGCUGAGAAAGCUUACACAGUGGUGAUAGGUACACUCCUAAUCUUGGAGCACUUUGCUUUAUUAUUAUUUGACUCGGGGUCCUCUCAUUCUUUUAUAUCGCCAAUUUUUGUUCAACAUAUGAGUUUACAAGUAGAACCCUUGAGUUAUAUGUUAUUUGUCUCUACUCCAUCUGGAGAAAUUAUGUUGUCGAAAGGAAAGAUAAAAACAUGUUAAAUAGAAAUAGCAUAUCAUGUUUUAGAUGUAACUUUAUUAGUAUUACACAUGCAAGACUUUGAUGUAAUAUCGGGCAUGAAUUGGCUAUCUGCUAACCAUGCAAACAUAGAUUAUUCUCGCAAGGAGGUAGUUUUUAACCCUCAUGAGGCGACUAGUUUAAAGUAUAAGGGGGCGGGGACUGUGGCCUACCCAAAGUUAUCUCAACCAUGAAGGCCAGUAAGUUGUUCAACCAAGGUACUUAGAGUAUCUUGGCUAGUGUUGUAGAUACCAGAGAGCCCGAUGUAUCCUUAUCAUCUGAAUGAAUGGUAAGGAAAUACCCCGAUGUUUUUUUAGAAGAGCUUUCAAGACUUUCUCCUCACAAAGAGGUUGAUUUUGCUAUUGAACUGAAACCAGGCACUGGUCCCAUAUCGAGAGCUCCAUACAGAAUGGCUCCAGCUGAGCUGAAGGAGUUGAAGGUCUAGUUGCAAGAAUUAUAGGACAAGGGCUUUAUUCGAUCUAGUAUGUCACCUUGGGGAGCACCACAUUAUUUGUGAAGAAGAAAGAUGGGUUGAUGUGUCUUUGCAUUUACUAUAAAAAGCUUAAUAAGGUGAUAGUCAAGAACAAAUAUUCAUUGCCCAGGAUUGAUGGCUUGUUUGAUCAGUUUUAGGGAGCCACUGUGUUCUCUAAGAUCAAUUUACGAUCAGGAUAUCACCAGUUGAGGAUUAGAGACAGUGAUAUUCCCAAGACUGCCUUUCCAGAUAUGGACAUUACGAGUUUAUUGUGAUGUCCUUUGGCUCGACAAAUGCUCCUGGUGUAUUUAUGGAUUUGAUGAAUAAGGUGGUGCUUAAGGAUUUCUUAGACACUUCUGUGAUAUUUUUUAUUGAUCACAUCUUGGUUUACUCCAAGACAGAGGCUGAGCAUGAGGAGUAUUUGCAUAAGGUAUUAGAGACUCUUCGAGCCAAUAGGCUAUAUGCCAAGUUUUCCAAGUGUGAGUUUUGACUGAAGCAAGUUUUGUUCCUUGGCCAUGUAGUGUCCAGUGAAGGAGUUAUUAUAGACCCAGCAAAGAUUAAAGUUGUUACCAUUUGGCCUCGACCUUGUACAGUCAGUGAAGUUUAAAGUUUUUUGGGUUUAAUAGGUUAUUACAGAAGGUUCGUGGAAGGCUUCUCUCGUAUAGCUAGUCCUUUGACCUAGCUAACCAGGAAGGGGAAUCCUUUUGUUUGGAGCCCAGCAUGUGAGAGCAGUUUCCAGGAUCUUAAACAGAAACUUGUUACUACACCAGUCCUUAUAGUGCCAGAUGGAUCUGGGAGUUAUGUGAUUUACAGCGAUGCCUCUUAGAAAGGAUUGAGUUGUGUAUUGAUGCAAUAAGGUAAGGUGGUUGUUUAUGCCUCUCCUCAGUUGAAGAGCCAUGAGCAGAACUACCCUACACAUGAUUUAGAGUUUGGCAGCAAUAUUUUUGCACUUAAGAUUUGGAGGCAUUAUUUAUAUGGUGAGAAGAUUCAGAUCUUCAUUGACCAUAAGAGCUUGAAUUGGUCAAGGACUUAAAUAUGAGAUAAAUAUGAGAUAGCGCGGAUGGCUCGAGUUGGUCAAGGACUACGAUCAUGAGAUCGUGAGUUAGUAGGAAGGUAUCAUACUCUGUAGCACUCAUUACUAGUCAGGUUCCUUUGCACAGAGAUCUUGAGAGAGCUAAGAUUGCAUUUUUAGUAGGAGAAGUCACCUCACAGUUAGCUCCGCUGUCAGUACAACCAACUUUGAGGCAGAGAAUUAUUAUUGCUCAGCUCACUGAUCCUUAUUUGGUUGAUAGUCACUUUUUAUGAUUAUGAAAUAUGACAAAUGGAUGUUAAUACUGCUUUUCUAAGUGGCAAUCUUGAAGAAAGUAUCUUUAUGUCUCAGCCUGAGGGGUUCAUAACCCAAGGUUAGAAACAAAAAGUUUACAAGCUGAAUCGAUCCAUUUAUGGGUUGAAAUAAACAUCUAGUUUGAACAUUAGAUUUGAUAUUGCGAUCAAAUCUUACGGUUUUGACCAAAAUGUUGAUGAGCCUUGUGUAUACAAGAAAAUCAACAAAGAUAAAGUAGCUUUCUUAGUACUUUAUGUGGACGAUAUUCUUCUCACUGGAAAUGAUGUAGGAUACCUAACUAACGUUAUAAACUUGGCUACCAGUCCAAUUCUAAAUGAAAGGGAGAGGCACAAUUUGUUCUUGGGAUCCAAAUCAUAAGGGAUCGUAAGAACAAAAUGCUAGCACUGUCUCAGGCAACCUAGUAAUUAAUUAAUUGGAAAAGUAAUUAAUUAAAUUAAAUCAUGAAUAUACACAUAAAUGUAGCAAAACCCAAAAAUAUUUACGUCGCAUGUAACAAAAAUUAAAGCACAUGAAGCACCAUUAUUUUUUUUUAUAAAUUUCAGAUUUUCCCUUUGUCAUUAUUUUUGCGCAUUGUGAAACCAUUCUUCACUUCACUUCUUUUUCUUCUUCUUUGCAAUUUAUUCUUUUCUUCUUCGUAUUAUUAAUUUCUUCAUAUUAUUACUUCUCUUUCAUAUUCUCACUUCUUCUUGUCUGUGAUUUCUUCAUUUCCUUUUUCAAAAUUUCUUUCUUCUUCAUCUCUCAUCUUCUUUUUUUGCUUCUUGGUACAAGAUCUAAAUGAUAUUAGUACAUGAUUUAAAUGAUAAUGUAUCAAUAUCUAAAUCAUCAGUUGUCUAUCCCAGAUAAACAGACAUAGACCACUGUUACUAAUGGAUCGUUUAGAUUUGGUACAAUAUUGUUUAGACUAAAUAAAAAGAUCGUUUAUGUUGGGAUUUAUGUCCUAAAACUCGUAGAUUGUAAAUAUAAUCCAUUAAUCGUUGUUUAAUAACAUGUUAUUAUUGUAAUAAUUAUUAUUGGUUAUAAUAUUAGUUGUCUUAAUAACUCAAAUCAAACAAACUAACAUCCUAAGUUGUUUAAUGAAUCUUAAACAGUAUGUAGAGACAUACAGGGAUAAAGGUUCAAGAUCAGCUUAAAGGUUCUAUAGUACAAGGAUAAGGCUGAAUACCUAAUCCUGGUAACACUAUGAAUAUGGCUCACUUUGUAUUUGAUACAAACACAAUGAUUCAACGCGUUUGUGUAGUUGACAUACGAGUGACGGUAUCUUAUGCAAUAAGUUUACAUAAGAUCAGACGGCAAAAUAAUAACUACUAGAUGAAACUCUGUUUACUAGUCAGGUUUUUAUUCAUUAGGAUGACCUAGGUAACUUAGUUUUAAUUGUAACGCCCCAACUUUUCUAGAAGGUUGAGGUCAUUACUAUUUAAGUAAAUAUAUAUUUUUUUUAAUAUACAAGAAAAUAAAUUAAAAUUUGAGGAAAAACUUUAAAUAAUAAGUAGUUAAAAUAACUGAUCAAAAUACCAGUUUGGGCCCAAAAAUAGAAGAAAUACUUAAAGUAAUUGAACCAGAGUUCUGAAAUAAACCUAUGAAAAUAUAACUAUUGAAAUAUAAAUGCGGAAGAAAACUGAAUUGUUCCCUAUGGCGAUCUAUGAUCACUUCUUAUCAUUCGCUAUUAUGCCCUUGCCUCUACCCUUACCUGAAAUUAAACAUUUAAAAGAGUGAGUAUAAAUUUAUACUUAGUAAGAGACCCAUAGUGGUCUCACUAUGUGUCUGUUAACCUUUCGUUAGAGUCCUGUAACAUGGUACCGCAUACUAUUGCGCUCCCGAACGCAUACUAUCAAGUGGUUCCGUAGGGACACAUCUAGGCUCUCGGUGAACCCGAAGGAAUCAUCCUAUAGGAGAGUCAGACUGUAAGUGAUCCCGUCGAAUCACAUCUCAAACAAGUCACACAUGCAUACAUAGGUGGUGACCCUGAUGGACCCCCAUACGGUACAACUCUAAUAGGCAAAACUAACAGAACACUAUAGCCUAUACAUGUUUAUCAUAAGAUCAACAUCUUAGCUCAAUUACACAUAACUCAAAAGUAACAUAUUUGAUUAUAGCAUGCCUCAACAAAUAAUACUAUAUCUAAAUCAUAAUAUGGUUUUCAAAGUAACUAUUUAUACGACCAUCUCAAACAACAUAAUUCAACUCAUUCCAGUGCUAACUCAUUUUAGACCCAAAACAAUAAUUAUUUGGGUGUACCAAACCCAACGAGAAUUAAGCAAAAACUCACCAAGGGCUUAAAUAUGUUGCAGACGGCUAAAACUGAAGGUGGCUCGACUAACAACGCUUCAGCUCGAGUCUUGAGACUCACGGCUGGCAUACGACUCACACAGGAAUGGCUCGGUUGCGCGUGGCUCGCGUAUGGCUUACACGAAACGGCUCGGAUCCACAGAGAUGACUCACGAGGCUCGGUGAAGGAAUACGACUCGAACUAACACGACUUGACAUGUGGCUCGCAAAAAGAAAACUUUCACAGCUUGCAUCCUUCACUGUCAAGCACGAUGAUGUCCGGCGGUGCUGUGCGAGUGGAGGCAACGACGGGUGAUGGUUUCGACGGAAGAGAGGGUUCUGACCGAUGAUGUGGAGGAGGAACGCACAGAGGAAGACAGGGGUCGUUCGACGGUUCGAUGCAACACGCGUCGACACGGCUGGAGAGAAACGAACGGUUGUGCUUCGUGACCGUGACGCUUCGACUAUGCGACUGUGACAGGGACUCUCUCACCGGAGUGCUGCAUUCGAUGAUGGCUGGAGGAGCGGGGCGACAGCUACUCUAGGGUUAAAUGGUGAAGAAGAAAGAGUGGGGUGGAGAAGAUGAGCACGAAAUACGAGAGAGACUUAUUUAAUAUAUACAAUAAUAAUAAGUAUUAUUAUUAUUAUUGUCAUUAUCUUUAUUAUCAUUAUUUAAUUUCCCCAACGAACUCAUUUUUUUCUAUUUCAAUUAAUUUUUCUCUUUCUUCAUUACUAACUCAAUCCAUCAUCAAUAACUUCUCUCGUUUCCUUAAUAAUUAUAUUAUCCCAUAAUAUAAUUAUUCUUAUUCGUCUAUAACUUUGCUUAUACCCAUAAACAAUAAUUACUCAUAAUACUUUCAACUUUACAAAUUUAAUUUACCAACCAAUCAAUCCAAAAAUUACCACUUUAACAAAAUGAUUUCAAAUUUCAGAAUUAACCACAUAUCAUUCCAACGCACUUAACUUCCACAAAUCAAAUAAUUUCACACAUAACACCCAAUUUUUUUUAAUAUAACCCACAUUAAAGUUAACUUACUAGUUUUGGGGUGUUGUAAUCUUUCCUCCUUUGAGAAACUUUCGUCCUUGAAAGAUCUAAUCCUCGAAUAGCUCGGGAUAAUGCGCUCUCAUGUUGUCCUCUUUCUCUCAAGUAGCUUCCUCAACCUCGUGGUUUCGCCACAAAACCUUGACCAAUGUAAUUCCUCUGUUACAAAGCAGUUUAACUUCCUUAGCCAAAAUCUCAACUGGCCGCUCCUCAUAGCUUAAGUUGUCGUUAAUUUGCAACGGUUUGUAGUCGACUAUAUGUGAGGGAUCUGCCACAUACUUCCUCAGCAUGGAGACAUGAAACACAUCAUGAACUGCAGAUAAUUGCGGAGGCAAGGCCAAAUGAUAAGCUACAGGGCCAAUCCUUUCAAGAAUCUCAAACGACCCUACAAAACGUGGACUCAACUUCCCUUUCUUCUCGAAUCUUAGAACACCCUUUAUAGGUGCUACCUUCAGAAAAAUCAUGUCUCCUACGUCAAACUCAAGAUCCCUACGUCGUUCAUCAGCAUAGUUCCUCUGUCUGCUCUGUUUGUCAAUAUGCGAGCUCUAAUUUUCUGUGUGGCUUCGUUGGUGGGCUGAACUAGUUCAAGGCCUAACAUUCUCUGCUCACCAACCUCACCCCAACAAACCGGGGAUCUACAACUUUUACCAUACAAAGCUUCAAACGGUGCCAUGCCAAUGGUAGCUAUUAUAGGCGAACUCCAUCAAGUUCAAGUGGGAGUCCCAACUCCCUAAGAACUCCAACACACAAGCUCGCAACAUAUCCUCCAGAAUCUAAUUCAAACGCUCUAUCUGACCAUCAGUCUGAGGAUGAAAAGUUGUACUGAAGUCCAAUCUCGUGCCCAUGGUAGCCUGAAGUCCUUUCCAGAACUUGAAAGUAAAACGGGCAUCUCUAUCAAAAACAAUGGAUACCGAUACCCUAUGCAACCUCACUACUUCAGUUAUAUACAAUUAUAUGGGUUGCCCGGGACUCAAACCCAGAACUUGUGCCCACUUACUGGCAGUAUAAGUGGACUUCCCUGGAAUGAAGUGUGCUGACUUCGUGAGUCUGUCAACAACAACCCAUAUCACUGUAUAACUCUUCAGGGUCCUAGGUAGUCCAGAAAUGAAGUCCAUAGAUACAUUCUUCCACUUCCACUCUGGCACACCCAAGGGUUGUAACAACCCUGCUGGCUUUUGUCUUGGUGCCUUCACCUUCUGGCACACCAGACAUUUACUAACAAAAUCUGCCACCUCUCUCUUCAUAUUUCUCCACUAGUAAACUCGCUUCAAAUCCUAGUACAUCUUUGUACUGCCUGGAUGCAUAGAAAAUGGGGAACUAUGGGCCUCAGUCAACAACUCGGUCUUAACUGUAUUGUCUGCUGGCACACAUAAUCGUUUGUCAAACACGAGUCCCUCAUCAGUGGAUAUAGAGAACUCCUCAACUUGCCCUCCUUCUACUAAGCGGCGCUUAUCCACCAAAUAAGGGUUAGUGAGCUGGGCAAUAAUAAUUCUCUGCCUCAAAGUUGGCUGUACUGACAAUUGAGCUAACUGUGAGGUAACUUCCCCUACUAAAAUUACAAGCUCAGCUCUCUCAAGGUCUCUAUGCAAAUGAACCUGCCUAAUAAUGAGUGCUGCAGAAUGUGAUAUCUUCCUACUAAGAGCAUCAACUACCACAUCCGCCUUACCUGGGUGGUAUAAAAUCUCAUAGUCAUAGUCUUUAACCUACUCGAGCCAUCUUCGCUGCCUCAAAUUCAACUCCUUCUGAGUGAAGAAGUACUUCAAGCUCUUAUGGUCGGUGAAGAUCUGAAUCUUCUCACCGUAUAAAUAGUGCCUCCAAAUCUUUAGUGCAAAAAACUACUGCAGCCAACUCUAAAUCAUGUGUAGGAUAGUUUUGCUCAUGACUUUUCAACUGACGAGAAGCAUAAGUAACCAUCAUAUCUUGUUGCAUCAAAAAGCAACCCAGUCCUUUCUUAGAGGCAUCAUUGUAUAUCACAUAAUUACCAGAUCCAUUAGGCACUGUAAGGACCGAUGCAGUAACGAGUUUUUGCUUGAGAUUCUAGAAACUGCUCUCACACGCUGGACUCCAAACAAAAGGAGUCCCCUUCCUGCUUAGUUGGGUCAAAGGACUAGCUAUAUGAGAGAACCCUUCCACAAACCUCCUGUAAUAACCUACUAAACCUAGAAAACUUCGAACUUCACUAAUUGUAGAAGGUCGAGGCCAAUUGGUAACGACUUCGAUCUUUGCUGGGUCCACAGAAAGUCCCUCACUGGAUACUACAUGACCAAGGAAUGACACCUGCUUCAUCCAGAACUCGCACUUGGAAAACUUGGCAUACAACCUAUUGGCUCGAAGGGUCUCGAACACCUGAUGCAAAUGCUCCUCAUGCUCAGCCUCUGCCUUGGAGUAAACCAAGAUGUCAUCAAUAAAAACUAUCGCAUAAAUGUCUAAGAAAUCCUUAAACACCAUGUUCAUCAAUUCCAUAAAUGCAGCAAGAGCAUUUGUCAAGCCAAAGGACAUUACAAUAAACUCAUAAUGUCCAUAACGAGAACGAAAGGUCGUCUUAGAUAUCAUUGUGCCUAAUCCUCAACUGGUGAUAUCCCAAACGUAAACCGAUCUUAGAGAACAUCGUGGCUCUCUGUAGCUGAUCAAAUAGCUCCUCAUUUCUAGGCAAUGGAUAUUUGUUCUUGAUUGUCACCUUAUUAAGCUCUCUAUAGUCAAUGCAAAGACGCAUCGACCCAUCUUUCUUCUUCACAAACAACAUUGGUGCUCUCCAAGGUAACACACUAGGUCGAAUAAAACCCUUGUCCAGCAAUUCCUGCAACUAGACCUUCAGCUCCUUCAGUUCUGCUCGCGUCAUUCUGUAUGAGGCUCUCGAUAUGAGACCAAUACCUGGUUCGAGCUCUAUGGCGAAGUCAACCUCUCUGCAGCGCGGAAGCCCUAGAAGCUCUAUGGCGAAGUCAACCUCUAUGUCUGCAUUUGUAACAUACUCCACUUCCUGCUAGGUAACGACCCGAGUGAGGUCUUCCAUAAUUAAGAGUCAUGAAUAGUACCUUCAAGGUUUGGCCUGUCUGAGUAGUCUUUGUCAGUGCCGUUGGAACAAACCAUUGAUCUCAAAUUCCUUUGUGGUGCUACUAUAGGCUGCUGCUCAGUCUUCCGUAUGUCCCGAAGUUGGCCCCUUCUCUACAGCCUUGCCAAUCGUCCUCUCAUACAAACUCAGGUCUACUGCCAUGCACAGCGCAUCAACUUGGGUGGUUGGUCAAGGACGCGAACGAAACCCUAGAUCUCUGACUUGAGACUUUGACGAACUUGUUAGCUCUCUCAACCUCAGUUCUCACUAAAUCGGGUGCAAACUGAUAACACAUCGAACUUCUGAUCAUACUCUUCCAUGGUCAUGUUACCUUGCUCUAGUUUUAGGAACUCUCGCACUUGGCCUCUCUCACUGUGGCAGAGAAGAAUUUGGCAUAAAAGUUCUCCUUGAGCGGCUCCCAGGUGAUCUUACUUAUAUCUCCACUCAACAUCCUCUCUAUGGACUCCCACCAACCUCUGCUUCUAUCAAUCAGUAAGUACCAGCGUACUGAAUCUUCUGGUCAUUAGGCACUUCAUAUAACGAAAGAUGGUCUCCACCAAACUCAACCACAUUUGUGCUUUGGUGGGAUCUGCUAAAGAUCCAUCAAAAGUUUAAGGGUUAUACGUCCUCAAGUCCCUCAAGUGCUUGGCUUCGGCUAAAAGCAUGCCUGGUAAGUGUUGGGCUACAAUUGGAGCCUGAACUCCUGUAGCUGGAAUCUGAUCACCUACAGCCGAUGCCUGAACAAAGCUGUCUAGGUCUGUGAGGCAGGCUGUCGUUGUGCCAUCACUUCAAACAAUAAGUCUCUGUACCUUUGCUCCAUAGCAAAGGUCUGCUUGAGUAACAGGUGCAGUAGGGUUGACAGCUUGUACAGUUGGUUGUUCCCCGGGCUGUCCUCCAGGUUGUGCUUCAGGUUGUCCCGCAGGAUGGUUACGUCCAGCUCCUCUACCUCCAAUACCACCUCUAUGAACACUUCUACAUGGCAGCAUUUUUUUCCUAAUUUCCACCAUUAAAAGUCUUUUACUACGAGUUCAUUCAUAACAUGCUUACUUAUCUAGUUUAAUUCAUGCAAGGUCAUAUGCACAAUCUUAAAUUAUAUCAUAAAAAUGUACCUGGCGAGUGACGAAAGACCGUAUUAACCAUAGGGAUAAAAUCAAAGACUUACAUCGUAAGUCAGUCUACAAAAUCUAAAACUUUGACUCUGAUACCAACUGUAACGCCCAACUUUUCUAGAAGGUUUAGGUCAUUACUAUUUAAGUAAAUAUAGAUUUUUUUUUUAAUAUACAAGAAAAUAAAUUAAAAUUUGAGGAAAAACUUUAAAUAAUAAAAAUAAAUAAAUAGUUAAAAUAACUAAUCUAAAUACUACUUUCGGCCCAAAAAGAGGAAAUAUACUUAAAGUAAUUGAACUGGAGUUCUGAAAUAAAUCUAUGAAAAUAUAACUACUGAAAUAUAAAUGUGAAAGAAAACUGAACGGUUCCCUAUGGCGAUCCACGGUCACUUCUUAUCAUUCGCCAGUUUGCCCUUGCCUCUACCCUUACCUGAAAACUAAACAUUUAAAAGAGUGAGUAUAAAUUUAUACUUAGUAAGAGACCCAUAUUGGUCUCAGUAUGUGUCUGUUAACCUAGAGUCAUGUAACAUGGUACUGCAUACUAUUGCGCUCGAAUGCAUACUAUCCAAUGGUCCCGUAGGGACACAUUUGGGCUCUCGGUGAACCCGAAGGAAUAACCCUAUAGGAGAGUCGGGUUGUAAGUGAUCCCAUCGAAUCACAUCUCAAACCAGCCACAUAGGCAUACAUAGGUGGUGAACCCGAGGGACCCUCAUAUGGUAUGACUCUAACAGGCAAAACUAACAGAACACUAUAGCCUAUACAUGCUUAUCAUAGCAUCAACAUCUUAGCUCAGUUACACAUAACUCAAAAGUCACAUAUUUGAUCAUAGCAUGCCUCAACAAAGAAUAUUAUAUCUAAAUCAUAAUAUGGUUUACUAAGUAACUAUUUAUACGGCCAUCUCAAAUAGACAUAUUAUACAUCUCUUACUUACACUACUAAACAAUACAUAACAUACAUGCAACUUCCAAGUAGGGUUUAGUACGAAAAAUCUCUUACCUGGAGAUUCACAAAAGAAAUAGUACUCCUCUGAUUGAGAGUCAAAUCCUCACAAUAAACUCAGUCCUAAACAUGAACAAAAUUAAACUUAAUAAUUUUGUCAAUCUAUCACUUUACUGUUUAAUUAGGCAACCAAUUCAAUCAAACUUACCCCAAAGAUUUAAAGUUGAUCUCAAUACAACCUUAAAUUGAAAUUUGCACAAUUCAAUUCCUCAACCACACCUUAACCUUCAAAAAACAUAAUACAACUCAUUCCAGUGCUAACUUAUUUAAGACCCAAAACAAUAAUUAUUUGGGCGUACCAAACCCAACAAGAACUAAGCAAAAACUCACCAAGGGCUUAAAUAUGUUGCAGACGGCUAAAACUGAAGGUGGCUCGGCUAGCAAGGCUUCGGCUCGGGUCUUGAGACUCACGGCUCGCAUACGGCUCACACAGGAUCGACUCAGUUGUGUAUGGCUCGCGUACGGCUUACAUGGAACGGCUUGGAUCAAAGAGAUGACUCACGCGGCUCGGUGAAGGGACACGGCUUGAACUGACGCGGCUUGGACGUGUGGCUCGCGAAAAGAAAAUUGUCAUGGCUUGCAUCCUUGACUGUCAAGCGCGAUGAUGUCCGGCGGUGCUGUGCAAGUGGAGGCUACGACCGAUGAUGGUUUCGACAAAAGAGAGGGUUACGAUCGACGACGCGAAGGAGGAGCGCACGGCGGAAGAUAGGGGUCGUUCGACUGUCCGAUGCAACACGAGUCGACACGGCUGGAGAGAAACGAACGGUUGUGCUUCGUGACCGUGAUGCUUCGACUAUGCGACCGUGACGAGGACUCUCUCACUGGAGUGUUGUGCGCGACGAUGGCUGAAGUGGGGCGGCGACUGCUCUAGGGUUGAAUGGUGAAGAAGAAAGAGGGGUGGAGAAGAUGGACAUGAAAAAUGAAAGAGGCUUAUUUAAUAUAUACAAUAAUAAUAAUACAGUAUUAUUAUCAUUACUAUUGUCAUUAUCUUUAUUAUCAUUAUUUAAUUUCCCCAACGAACUCAUUUUUUUCUAUUUCAAAUAAUUUUUCUCUUUCUUCAUUACCGACUCAAUAUAUCAUCAAUAACUUCUCUCUUUUCCAUAAUAAUUAUAUUAUGAAUAAUUAUAUUAUCCCAUAAUAUAAUUAUUCUUAUUCCUCUAUAACUUUGCUUAUACUGAUAAACAAUAAUUACUCAUAAUACUUCAAACUUUACAAAUUUAAUUUACCAACCAAUCAAUCCAAAAAUCACCACUUUAACAAUAGGAUUUCAAAUUUCAGAAUUAACCACAUAUCACUCCAACGUACUUAACUUCCACAAAUCAAAUAAUUUCACACAUAACACCUAAAAAAUUUCAAUAUAACACACAUUAAAGUUAACUUACUAGUUUUGGGGUGUUAUAUUGAAAUCAAUCAUUUCCUUCAUCCACCUUCAUCUACGUUUGUGCCCAGCUCUCACGACCACCAUCAAAAUAUUUUUCUCUCCAGUGAAUCGUGUUUGUGAGAUAGCCAGAUUCAGCAUUCACCACCCACAAAUCUCCAACUCUGAACCCAUUCGGUUAGAUACCCACCUAAAAUCGGACUGAUUCUGAUUCAGCAGUCACAACCCACACGUUUCAGCAGUCACCGGUGAACCUAUUUGAUGAGAUAUCUGGUGAACCCAUUAGUUUGUAGCUUUAAAAAAGAUAAACUCUUAUACUUUUGUGUACGUUACUCUGAACGCUUUUGUUUACUGUGAUGUUCUAUGCUAAUUUGUAUUGUUUUCUAACAUAUCUUCCAAUUGCUAGGAAGAAGUUGCUUAAGUGAUUCUUAAAGAAGGGUAAGGAGAGGUAAUGAUUCAUACUCCUUGAAAAUUAAAUCUGUAUUUUUAUUUAUUUGUAUUAUCUUUAAGAUUUUGAAAAGUUUUUUUUACGCUUGUGUAUCCAAAGAAUGAAUGGAUGCUUUCGAUUUGUAAUUAUUGAAUUGGUUUGUGCUUCAAUAUUACAAAAUCUUGGAGCAUGCAUGCAUGUAUAUUUUAAUUGAUUGUGCGAUGAUAAUAUACUCAUGCACACGAGUGCACAUGCACUUUUUGUAUUUAAUUGAAGUUUCUCUUCUUUUUUUUUAAGUUGCUCAUCGGUCUUUUGUAGAUAUAUUUGGUACUUGGUAUAUGUUGUCAGUAUUUAAGCGUGUCGGAGGGCUUUUUAACACACCUCAAAUUGUUAGUAAAAGAAAAUCAAACUAAUUACUUCCAUUCAUUUGGAAUUAUAAUGUCAUAAUGAUGGUUAGAAGUUUGUGUUUGGUCUUCGUCGAUGGUUUUAAUUUGAGAUUUGCUUGUUAGUUGAUUGAGUGAUACGAUUACGAGUUUUGUAGUUGUUUGAGUGUAUAUAGAACUUUUUGGUUGUUUGGGUUUAUAUAGAACUUGUUAGUACGUUUUUGGAAUGUGGAUAAGAAUUUAAUUUCUUUUUCAUAUGUGCUUAUUUGAUAGUCUUGCUUUAUUCUAAUUGUUUGGUUGUUGGGUGUAUAUAGAAAUUUACAUUAAUUAUAUUUAGUCUUCAACUUUUUAAUGACCAAGUUAGAAAAUUUUGAGAAACUACUAGAUGAUGCCAAGAAACCAUUAUAUCCUAAUUGUAAAAUUUUUACCAAAAUAUCUACCUUGAUAAAAUUAUAUAAUUUGAAAGUUAAAUUUGGAUGGAGUGAAAAGAGUAUCACGGAGUUGUUAAAAUUAAUUGGUGACAUCUUACUACUCCUAAUGAAAUCCCUACUUCUACUUAUGAAGCAAAAAGAUUUUGUGUACUCUUGGAAUGAAGUACGAGAAGAUACAUAAAUGUAGAAAUGAUUGUUCUUGUUUAGGAAAGAACUCUCUUAUGCAAAUGUACGCCCCUUUCGUGAUGUUAUUAUUUUUAGAUUUUGAGUUUUCACUUAUAGUCAUCGGAUAUAGUGUGUUUAUUUGAUAUGUGAAUAUAUAUGUGUGUGUGUGUGUGUAUGUGUUAGAUGAUGUGUAUUUGUUGUAGUACUUUAUGGAAGUGUGAAAAAGUGUGCUGGUAUAUUAUGUGUUGGAUCUUAUUCAUUGCGGGUGAAAUAGGAAUCCUAUUGGUUUGUCAUAGAGGAAAUGCAUUUAUUUGAUAUGUGAAUAUAUAUAGGUGUUGGAUUAUAUGUAUUUGUUUAAUCUAUAUGAAGAAGUGUGGAAAGUGUAUUUGAUGUGUAUAAGGUUUGCCAUGGAGUAGUAGCUCUAGCAUUCUAUAGCUAGCAGCGUGCCAACAAUUUUUUUUACAUUUUUCACAAUAUACGAUGAUGAACAUUUCCUCUCAUAAUUCGAGACAAAUAAUAUCGGUUUUGAUGUCAUAAAAAAUGGACAAUAAUGCAACAAUAUAAAAAAAUAAAUUUAAAAAUGGGCCAGAAACAAGGUUUUGAUGUCGUUUUAAAAAUGACAUUAAAGGUGUCUUUAAUGUCAGUUUAGAAAUGACAUCAAAGGCCUCUUUAAUGUCGGUUUAAAAUCAAAAUCAAAAGCCAAGGACAUUCAAGACCUUCAAUAAACCAUCAAAGAUAUUGAUUUUAAAUUGACAUUAAAGGCCUUUGAUGUCGGUUUUAAACCGACAUUAAAGAGGCCUUUAAUGUCGUUUCUAAACCAACAUUAAAGUCAAAUCGACAUUAAAGGCUUUUAUAAUGCUUGCAAAGACGUCAGUGUGACAACUGACAUUAAAGGCAAAAUUUCUUCUAGGGAUUUGAGAAUUUUUGGAUGUGUCAUAUAUGUUCCAAUUGCUCUAUUACAACGUACUAAGAUGGAUCCUCAAAGAAGGCUAGAAAUAUAUGUUGGAUUCGAUUCUCCAUAAAUUAUUAAAUAUCUUGAAAUCUUGAACCUCUUACGGGUCUACAUGAUUUAUUGAUUAUCAUUUUAAUUAGACAAAUUUUUCAACGUUAUAAGGAGAAAUUAAAAAAAUUGGAAAAGAAAUUACAUGAAAUGUAUCAUUAUUGUCUCAUUUGGAUCCUCGUACAGAUCAAUGUGAACUUGAAGUUCAUAAAAUAAUUUAUUUGCAAAAUAUAUAUAGCAAAUCAGUUACUAGAUGCAUUUGUAGAUGCAAAGAAAGUAACUAAAACACAUAUGAGAGUUGCAAAUGUCUCAUAAAAAAUUGAUAUCCCAUAACAAACUUGAUUAAAGAUAAAAAUCCUUGAAAUAGAAAUUGGUCAAUAACUCGAUUAAGGAUAUGGAUGUUCCAGAAGAAAUCCUAUGACACAAAAUAUCGAGAGAUAAAACAACUAAGACAGGAAAGAGAUGGAAUAUAAUUAAUGCAGUUGUUGAUAAUAGUUUGCACUUGAUACUAUAUUAAAAAAUGAAGAUCCAUAACCAAAUUCGUUGAAGAAUGUCGACAGAGAAAAGAUUGGUCUUUGUGGAAAGAAUCAAUUGAGGCAAAAUUAAAUUCACUUUCAAAAUGUCAAGUUUUUGAAUCAGUAGUCCAAACAGCAAAAGGUGUCAAACCUGUGGAAUAUAAAUGGAUAUUUGUGAGAAAAAGAAAUGAAGAUAAUGAGAUUACAAGAGAUGAAGGAAGAUUAGUUGCACAAGGUUUUUCACAAAGACCUGGUAUUGACCAUGAGGAGACAUAUUCUCUGAUGGUGGAUGAAAUCACAUUAAGAUUUUUUAUUGGCUUGGUUGUGUAUAAAAAUUUGGACAUGCAUCUUAUGGAUGUAGUCAUAACAUAUUUAUAUGGAUCUCUUGAUAAUGAUAUUUAAAUAAAAGUUCUAGAAGGAUUUAAGAUACUUGAAAUAUAUAAAUCAAGUUUUCGAGAACUAUAUUCAAUAAAGUUACAGAGAUCAUUAUAUGGAUUAAAACAAUCAAUACUAAUGUGGUAUAUAAUCAUCUGAGUGAAUAUUUGUUGAAAGAAGGAUAUCAAAAUAUUCAAAUAUGUCCAUGCAUUUUUAUAAAUAAAUCAUAGCCAAGAUUUGUUAUUAUAACUCUAUAUGUUGAUGAUUUAAAUAUAGUCUGAACUCUUGAAGAGCUUUCAAAGACAAUAAAAUAUCUUAAGAAAGAAUUCAAGAUGAAAGACCUCGGAAAUACAAAUUUUUGCCUCAGUUUGCAAUUUGAGCAUUUGGCAUAUGAGAUAUUUGUUUAUCAAUCAACUUAUAUUGGAAAUUUUUUUAAAAGACUUUAUAUGGAUAAAGCACAUCCAUUGAACAUUCCAAUGCAAGUUCGUUUACUAGAUGUAAAGCAAUAUAUAUUUCAACCCCGAGUUGAUAAUGAAGAACUUCUUGACCUAUAAGUACCAUAUCUUAGUGCAAUUGUUACACUUAUGUAUCUUGUUAAUAAUACAAGACCAGAUAUUGUAUUUUUAGUAAAUUGAUAACUACAUCUUCCUUUGUGGACUUAGAAGCACUGUGGUUUCUUUAAGAAGUUUGAAUAUAGUCUUUGUUAUUGUGUAGAAUUGUAAGCUGCUAGUUUUCUUGUUAAGGCUCAUUCAAUUUACCAUUUUAAUCAUUUCACUUAAAAUUGUUGACCCACUUGCAUCUUGGAGUUAUUUUAUUUCAAAUUCUUGAUAAGCAAAUCAAAAUUUGGGAUGUAUCUACUGGACAAUGUAAUAUAACUGUGCAACAUCAUACAAACAAGGUAAGAAUCUCAAUUGUAUUGCUUUGAUCGUGUGUGUUCGAGUUCAUUCAUUCAAACUUGCACCAACAAUGAUCUGUUCAUGAGCAUGAAUGUAAGCAAGCUUUGAGACAUCUCACAUUCACCUUUUGCUGAAUUUUAUACAUAAAAAGUGAAAAGUCUAAAUUUGAGCAUUUUCAUAUUAAUUGGUUUGAUCUUUUUUUUUUUUUAGGAUGAAAUCUAUUAUCAUUAAUCCUUCUAGGAAAGAGUAUGGUUUGAUGGUGAAUUACUACACAAGGAGAGGUGAUAUGAACGGUGCACGUGAAAUCUUUGAAAAUAUGCGAGCUAGGGAAAUAGAACCAUGGUCUCAUGUCUACACAAAGUAAUAACUACUCCUAUUUUCUCCCUUUCUUUCGUCAUAUGUUAAUUUGAUCUCAAUGUUAGCUUAAUAUUUUUGCUUCAUUUAUUGACAUAAAGGUCACCAUUCUAGUUUUGAAUAUGGUUAAAGUUUGAUUGAUUUGUAUAGAAGGCCAAUUAAGUAUUUUAUGCUUGAAAUAUAUAUUUUGAUGGUAGAUAUGUCGUUGCAAAAGUAUAUUUACUAUAUUAAUUCAAUCUAAAUAUUUUUCAAGUGUGUCGUUUUGCGAUAAUAGUAAGCUUUAAUGAUGUGCAACAUUAUUCAUACCAUCUUUUGUUAGAAAAAUGAAAGAAGAGAAGGAGGCAUAGAAAUGAGCUUGGUAACUUACACCAUUCUUGUUGGUGGAUUUGCCAAAAUGAAAAAUGCAGAGUAAGUAAUUAUUAUUAAAUGUGUGCAUGCGUAGGUUCAUAAAAUUUUCGUUAUAUAUAUACAUAUAUUUCUUUUGCAUAUAUAACGUUAUAAAAUAUGGCCACGGGCGUGUUGCACUCAUAGAAGUACAUAAUCAUUGUGAUGCUAUUGUGGAUGGAGCAAAUGUUGGCCUCUGUCAACAUAAUUUUGUAGAUUAUGGAUUUAAUCUUCCUCAUGUUGUAAAGUAUAUAUUUUGGUCUUACAUAGCCAGCCAAGCUAAGCGAUUAUGAAGAUUUGUUUAGCAUUUUAUGAGAAUGGUGAUGCAUUAAAGAUUCGAUUUUAUUGAAAUCUUGUUCCUUUUAAUAAAGAUGUAGCACUUCAUUUCACAUGCUAUCUGUCAAUGCUCAUCAUAUAUUAAUUAUUGAAAUCUUGUUUCUUUUAAUAAAGAUGUAGCACUUCAUUUCACAUGCUAUCUGUCAAUGCUCAUCUAUUAGUCUGUUUUGAUAUAUUUGUAGGUUGCAUCUAUUUUUCCAUAUAUUUAUCUUUGAUCAAUACCUAGCUAGUGGAGUAUGGACUUCCUUAUAUUCCAUGUUCUUUUACUAUUUGGGAUUUUCACCUUGGAUAUAUGAAAUUCAUUAACUAUUUUCAUUUGAAAGAAAAAACGAUCCAAUAGGAGUUUGUAAGAUUAUUUAUCAUCUCCAUUAUUCAACUUUCUCUAUAAAACAAUGUUGUUAUUGAUGGGUAAAUUUAUACAAUUAAGAGUAAGAAGCCUGUAGACUAACAUUGCUAAAUUGAACAUUUAAAAUUUGCUUUGAAGUCAGAGUCGAGGAUAGUAUAAUUAUUCUUUAGUUGUAUUCCUCUUUUUGUUGUUGAUCUUUGAAGAACCAAAUCAGGUUAACGAGUUGUUUGAUAAAAGCUAAUUUUCUUCUUUAUUUCUGCAGUACUUUUGGGUUGUCAUUUCAAUCGUCUUCUUUGUUGUUGCUACAUUAUUUACUUUACGAAAACUUUGUAGUAAUUUUUAAUUUUCCACAUUUAGAUUGCAGUCUGUUUAGUUUGAUUUUAAAUAAUAUGUACUAAUUUUGCAGAUUCUAGAUUUAAUCUUCCUCAUGUUGUAAAGUAUAUUUUGGUCUUAGAUAGCCAGCCAAGCUAAGCUAAGCGAUUGUGUAGAUGGAAGCGAUCGUUGAAAGUUGAAGAUUGUGAAGGCGUUUAAGAUUUCUUAUUUAAGUCUUGUAUUAGGAUCUAGUUUCAUGUAUUAUUGUAGAAUGUAUAUACAAACGCAAUAUUAAGAUUUCAUUUUCUGUAUACAAAUGUAAAAGAAAAAUAUUCUAGUUUCUAAAAUAAUAUUAAUUUUAUUGAUUUGUUGGAGUGAGCAAAAAAUAUUUAUUUACACGAAUCUAAUGUCAGUUUAUAAAAAAUAGACAACAAUGCAACAAUUAAAUAAAAAAAUAAAUUUUGUAAAAAUAGAUCCAAAAACAAGAUUUUAAUGUCAGUUUAAAAACGACAUAAAAGGCAAACCGACACUAAAGGUCAACAAUAACACCAUAAAAAUUGUCAGUUUAAAACUGACAUCAAUGGUCAUUAAUGUCGCUUUUAAACCGACAUUAAUGAUGUCUUUGAUGUUGUUUUUAAAUCGAUAUCAAAGUAAAAACGACAUUAAAGGCCUUUAAUAAGACUAGCAUAGAUGUCGGUUCCGAACCGACACCAAAGAUCAUUAAUGUCGGUUUAAAACCGACAUUAAAUGGUAAAUUUCUUCUAGUGUCAGAUUUCUCUGAAAGCUGAUAAUUCUCCCUUUCGUCGACUCAAACUCAGACCUCCUUUACUCAAAUUUAUCCGGUAGCCCUACUCUAGAAACUAGAAUCAAUUUGUGAACUAUUAAGAGUAAUUUCAACCAAAACGCACAAGUAUGAUAGGAGAAAUGUCAUUCUAAAGUUUCCUAUUUAUAUUGAGUGUUACAUGAGCCUUUAUUGACACGACCUACUUGCCGAAAUUUAACUUAAGUAUGUAGAGAACACUUGUAAAGUACCCAUGGACUCCACCUCUUCAUUAUCUUGUCUAACCAAAACACGUAAGUGUGGAACAUCAAGAUAAACACCUAACUAACUUCAAACAUGGUCGCAAGCACUCCUUCCUCGCGUGCAAGUCUACUCGCCCAAGAUCAUGUUGUCUAGCUUUCUCGCCUAGCAUCUUAACGCUUAAUAACCAAAAUGACAAGCUUUCCUCGCCCUAAAAAUCUUUCUCGCAUAGCCUUGCUAACCUCUUUUGCUCUCAAUCGCCUAGGGACACUCUUCACACCCAAUAACCUCUACGGACAAGCCUUGUCGCCUAGCCAAACACACACUCAAGCUUAGCUACCUACCUUGUCCAAACGCCUAAAUAACCACUUUAGAGGUUAUAUUUCCUUCUUUUGGCUGCCUACACAUCACCCUAUAACCUCUAAACGCUUUGUCCUUAAACCUUUGACACUUAGUCAAUUAUUUUUACGGUUAAAUUUGGGUCUUAAAUCAUGUAUUAAAAUAAACCAAAUUUUAAACUACUCAUAAUUUUAAUUUUUUAAGUGAAUACUAUUUUUUAAUAAAAUUUUAGUUUUUGUUUAAUGAUAAAUAAAACUUUAGAGAUCACCGGAUUCUUUUUAUAGUUGUAUCCACAAAAUAGGAGAGAUUUCAUUUUUUUUUAAAAAAAAAUCAACUUUAAACGUGUAUAUGCACAAAAAUAUGGAAGAUUUUUUCUUCCUUCUUUUAGGGUGAAUUUUAGAUUUUAAGGAUAAAAUCUAUUUUUUAAAAAAGAAAUUUUACUUUGAAAAGUAGGUGAGAUUUUAAAUUUUUUUUAAAGGUGAAAUUAGGUAAAAUAUCCCUAUAAUCAUUCACUAAAAGGGGCAGAUGAUGUUUCUCCCACAGCCCCUUUAUAAAUAUAUACACACAUACACACACAUAUAGAAAAUGGGGAAUUUUCAAAAAGAGUAAACAAUUUACCCUCAAUAAAAUAUUUACAUUUUCAUACAAAUUUUUGUAUUUCAUAGAAAAGAAACUGUAAUUGAUUUUAUUUUUGUCUUUCAAUAGUUUAUUUUUAUAUAGUUUAAAUAAUUUGUUUUUUUAUUGUUUUUUAUUGUAAUUGACAUGAUAUUACAAUGAUUUUAUCAACAGAAAAAAAAACUAUUCAAUUGGUCACUACAGAAGACAAAGAAAUAAAAAGUGAAUUUGAACUUCAUUAUAAGAUUGGAGAUUUCACAAAUGAUUCAAUUUGAAAUCAAAAAAGACAUAUUGACAUAUUACUUGAAAGUGUGUCAUAGAUUUAAGGCUUCACAAUUUACCAAAUCUUCAUCAUAUUUACCAUUUUUACGAACUGGGUGAAAGAAAAGUUAGAAAGGGUGUGCAUUAUAUCAUAACAACUACAUGAAAGAGUGGAGGAGUGUAAACGGAUUGAGUUGGGUUGGACGACAUUCCUAACCCAACCCAUAUUUUUAGGUUGGUUGGAUUGACAAUAUGAAUAACCCAAAUAGUAUUUUUAACCAACCCAAUCAAACCCUUAAAUUAUGGAAUAAGUUGGGUUGGGUUGUCGAGUUGAGAAGAAGAUGGCGAACGUCGGAGAUUGUGAACACUAGAGAUGAGAGAUCCAAACGAGAGGGAGAGAGUGAGUCAGAGAGAUAAGGAGUGAUGAAGACUGAAGUUGAAUGAAGUGAGGAUGAGGAGUAAGUCUCUGAGCUACUUCUUUUCCAUUUACUAAACUAAUAAUAUAAAUAAAUAAAUAUAUAUAUAUAUAUAUGUAUGUAUGUAAGACCUAGAUCCAAAAGGUAAGUCCUAUUGAAAAAGAGCCUUGUUGAAAAAAGGGAGUUCAUUUGAGUAUAAGUGUUAUCGAGUUAGAGUAAGUUGACCACCAUUAAUCGCUUCCGACCAACCUCUGAUGACUACUUUUUGACAAUUGUAGUUGACCAAACUUCGAAUGCUUGUUUUAUGGCAAUAGUCACAAGAAAAUUAUUGACCACCAUUAAUAGUCGUCGGCGAACCUGUGGUUACUGCUUUUCUGGCUACUAUUUUUUAGCAACCUUCGACGGUCAACUUUCAUCUACUGUUUUUUCACAACCAUUGUUGAUCGAACCCGACAAUCUUUUUCUAACAACCAUCGUCGAUCAACUUCUGAUGAACUUUUUUAUGGCAACUAUUUUUUUUUAUCACUGGCAGUAACUUCCUUGUACCAUUUUUCCCGUAAUCGCUGCUGGUCAACCUCUGAAUUCGUCGACCAUUUUUCAGCGACUAUUGCUAGACAACUUUUGUUUAUUGUUGAUCGACUAGCAUUGUUGGCCAGCUUUCGUUGACCAUUUUCGAUGACCCAUUACUGGUUAACUUUCCUCAACCAUUGUCGGUAAACUUUUGUCGGCUGUUUUUUAUGACUGUUACUGGCAAGUAUCAAUGUCCGUUGUUGGCCAACUAUUGAGGACCGCUUUUUUUUUUUCAAUUAACAUAAAAAUAGAAAAGGACAACAUUGUCAUCUACCUAAUUAUAGAAGCUACUUCUAAAGGAAAGUCAAAAAUGGAAGAAAAAAUUUUCUUCUCAUUCAAGCUUUUAUAUAUACUAUAGAUAGAAAUCUAAAAGAGAGUAUUGCAAAUAUAGUUAUAUAUUGUAAAUGUACAUCUAUCCAUAACCUAGGUUAUCAAUUGUCAUAUAACUCUCAUUCAAUUCCAUGUUGUAACAUUCAUCCUACUAAGAUUCAUAUUGUAAUUUGUACCAUGACAUGACAUGUCUUAUAAAUAGAGGUAUGUGAUGUCUUUCUUAGAUAUACCACAAUUGAGUUCAAUUGCUUUCCAUGUUUUCUCCCUCUCUAUUAUUCUCUUUUGUGUUGUUUCAUUGUUAUGACGUAUUUUCUUUAUUCUUAUUUUAUAGUAUUAAAAUCCAUAACAAACAUAAUGGGUGUUUUUUUCUUUGAAUUAUCAUUUAUGUAAAAUAAAUUAAUAAGGAUAAUUUAAGUUUGUCUUUAAAGUAUAAAACAACGUCAGAUAAAUUUAAGAUAAUUUGUUGGUUUUUUUCCCCAAAAGUAGAACAAAAUGCAAAAUUAUUUACACCGUAUAGAACAAUUUUGAAAAAAGAAAGAGCCCACAAGUCCAUAACGUAAAAUAACAAAAAUACCUCGGAAUUAAUUGACCACAAACAUACACAAAAAAAAGCUUCUAAUUUAAACGAUAGUAUAAUAUAGUCUAAAAUAUCGUUUAGAUAUUGAUACACAAUCGUUUAGAUGUUGGUAAGUGAUCCGUUUGAAUCUAUUACUUAUCUAUUUAGGAUAGAUAGUGAUAGUGAUCUAUAUGAGAUAGAUGACUGAUUGUUUAGAUUUUGGAACACAGUCAUUUAGUAAAAAAGAAGAAGAAAAAUAAACAAGAUGAAAGAUGACGUACAAGGAAGAAAUUAUGGAACAAGAGAUGAAGAAAUCGCAAAGAAGAAGAAGUGAGAAUAUGAGGAAGAUAUGUCGGAAUUCAAUACUCAUCCAAAAAAAUUCGAAACCAACCACGAAAUCAUGGAACUUGUGAAAAAAUAACAAUGGCUUCAUGAACUUUUAUUUUAUUUUUAUAUGGACGAUAAAUACUUUUGAUUGUUGUUUUAUAUAUAUAAAUUAACCAAAUUUGUUCCGUGACGAAGUAGCCUAGUAAUAUUCUCCCUUAAUCCGCUUUGGACUGUGCUUUUCUUUCCUUUUGUGUUUGAAAUACUAAACUUUUCAUAUUUUUUUAAAUUAAGCUGAUUAUUAUUAAACAAAAUUGUUAAACUUUUUGAGAAUACGAAACGAGAAAUUCUUUUACAUUCCAACUCUUUAGAUUCCUUUAAAGAAUGUGUUUACUUCUUUAUUUUAUAUUUCAUUAUUGAAUUUACGUUAAUUAUUUACAAUUAAUUGAAAAAAUUAUGAGACAAAAUUACACAUGUUUUACUUUUCUCAACAAUAGAAACAUAAACUUGUAAAAAUGAAAAACUGUAAUGACUGUUCUUUACUACGAAAUAUAUUGUCAAACAAUAACCAAGAUAAGAGAUAAUAACAAAACAACAAGAAGUAAACGAAAAAACACACGAGAAUUGUGUCCGGGAAAGUUAAUCCACUGAAAUCAAUGAGUCAAGCAAUUAUAAAGUUGUACUUAUAAACACUCUUCCGCUCACAAAGACAAUCGUAGAACUAAUUCACUGGACACUUGGGAAACAUUCUCUUUAAUACUUAGGCUCCCCUUAAGUAUGCUACUAUUAGUGAAUAACUACUCAAACUCCCCUAAAUAAUAGAAAUUCUUGAUUAAUCAUUCCUCUUUACUUGUGAACUCCCUUCACGAAUAAACUUAGACUCCCCCUAAGUUGAUGAGAUCUCCCUUCUCGAUAGAGCCAACUUUAGGAUCUCCUAAAGCAAUGUCAUUAGAUUGGUUUCAAAUUAAUCUUUAGCCAAGCAUUCACACGAACAACAGCCACACGCACAUAGGAAUGAAUCCUUUGAAUAUCGACUCUUCUUAGCCCAAAUGGUAAAGAGAAAUCAAGAUAUAUGCAGCAACCCUGGCACAAAGACUUCCUUAAGCUUAAAAAGGACAACAUAAACAAAGAGAAAAGCUUAGAAAAAAUGGACAUAAUGGGUGUCCACGAGGGGUCAUUAUAUCAACCUGUCUAAUGUAUGUCCCUAAAAUUUUGAAUACCAAUAACUUGAGAUGUUAAAGAAAAUUGAUUAUUGUCUUUUAGAGCAAAGAGUACAUAAAGAACACAAAUAGAGAAGAAAUAAUAAAGAUGAAAGAAAUGAUGCAACUUCAAGUGUUGGGAAUGAAUAAAAUGGUAAUUUUAAUAGUAGAACGUGAGUUACAAAGUUUUUUUUGAAUUCUACCCCUUCUUACAUUCAUUAUAUAUAUUAUAUGCAUAAUAGGGUUGAGUGAACCAGAUCAGUAUUUUUUUCCUCUAAUUUAAUCCAACCCAACCGUGAUGAUUAUUCUAGUUUAUUUUACUUAAGUGUUUAGAGUAACUGCUUUUAUUGAAAUAAUGUUUACAAAUAAGGGCCAUAAUUUUAGUCCAAAACGACCCGUAGUAUCUCUAUUUUAGUCCAUAACUUCUUUUCCCCAAAGAAUAUUGCUCUCUUCUUCGCGGGUUCCGUCGCAACUAAUUUUCACCUCCCCAACUUCUGCCUGACUUUCUUCCGUAGGGCUGCUGGUAUCCGAUUCUUGUUUACAAUCUGUUCCCAUUCUUCCUUUGCUAUCUUCGCUGCUAACAUUGUUGAAAUUGUUCGGUAUUGCCAUUUCCCGAGUUUGAAUAGCUUCUUGUAGGGAUUGGCUCUCAACCGAAGGCCAUUCAGGUACCUUCUUCGUCCCUCUCAAUUACCCUUUUUGUAUUUGCAUUUUAGGGAGUACUUCGUAUGGAUAUGUCACUAUGAUCAAUCCUAUUCCUGUUUCAAGAACGGGUGUUUGUUCUAGUCUUAAGGGAAAGUGAAGUAUUCUCUUUCAUUGUAGGUCGGAUUUUUAGUCAUUUUUUAUUUUGUUAUUCCACUCAUUGAAUUUAGUUGUUAAGUAGCAGGACUGGAACUACAAUAGAGUAAUGGCGUCUUCAGAUGAUGAGGCUGAGACCUUACCAGUACCACCUGUCUCAAAUUAUCACUUUGUGGAUCACAAGGAAGAACCUAUUUCAUUCUCUAUUUUGCCGAUUAAAUGGGAUGAAGGGGAGAGAUUGGAGGGCAGUCAAGAACCUGUUUUCCUCCAUGGUACAGUUGAUAAUGGACUUCAAAAGGUUUAUAAACAGGUUACCGCAUGGAGAUUUAAUAUUUCUGGUUCAAAGCCAGAGAUAUCGGUGCUUUCCAAAGAGAAUGUGUGGAUUACACUUCAGAAGCCUAGAAAGAGCUUUGAGGAUACCAUUAGAACCAUCUUGAUCACAGUGCACUGCCUUCAUGCUUUGAAGAGGAAUCCAGAUACAUCUAGCAAAUCUUUGUGGGAUCUAUUAGCUAAAACCUUUAGGUAACAUGAAUUCAUUUCAUCUUUUACUUUCAUGCUUUUGUAUUUGUUGUUUUUAAGCCAUUCAUUUUUGCAGCUUGUAUAAAGUGAGGCCUUCCCAGAAUGAUUUGGUGGAUCACAUGUCAUUAAUCGGAGAAGCAGUUAAAAGGGAUGAUAUAUUGGCCAAGUCCCAGGUUCUCUUUCAUUCUUGUGCAGACAAUGAAAAGAUUAUGUUCAUUUGUUUUGUUGAAUAAAGUUUUUUAUAUGGAUGUGAAGAAGAAACAAAAGGGCAGGGGGGAGGGAGGAAAGAGUUUGUGAUACAUUCCUAAGUCUCAAAGCCACGCCCACAGGCAAUAGAGUUUCAAUUAGUGCAAGAUAAAUAAAAUUUUUGACUCAACCAUUCCACAGUUCUAGGUUAUGUUGACUUCCAUCCUCAAAAUAUUUUUUAUACCCUCUUUUCAGAAAUUUCCUACAGGACUUCUGGAACCAUAUUUAUCCCCGUAGGCUUUUCAUUUUCUAUAAAGAUAAUUCCCAUACAAUCUGAGAUCCAAGUCCUCAAUUUUAGAGGGAGCUGUCCUGAUCAGUUGGUGGAAUGCAAGGCCCUGAUUUUCUGUGGGUAAUGAUUGUGAAAGUACACACGGUUAAUCUCCUUGCGGUCAGCUUGCAAGCACAGAGUGCAGUAGCCAAGUAGGAUAUAUGUUUCAUAUCAUCUCACAAGUGUUGAUUUCAUGGCAUAAAAGAGUACAAAGACUCCAAAAACUCUAAUGAAGAUUCUGUUACGUUUGGGACUUUAGAUGACCUUAAAAUCUUGAAAAUAGUGGUAGAGGGUACAAUGUUUAACUAGUUGAGGUACUUAGAAAAAUGUCAACAAAGAAGAGAUCUGGUUUUGCACAACUUAGUCGCUGGGCUAUUGAAUUGAAUUAAUUCUACAGAAUACGAGUCUUUGCCACUUGUUAAUUCAAGAGAUAGUAACAAGGAAAUUUUGCAUGUGGAACAUGCAUUUAUUAUAAUUUGAAUAAUUUUGGAAAAAGUAUAGUUACUGUUCAAAUGAUAGUUAUUUCAGUGGUAUACUUUGUCAUUUUGUUUGAAUUAGAAACACUUUCAUAGAUGAUAAUAUUGUAGAAGAGGGGGGAGGAAAGCAAGCCCGAUGCUGAAGGAGGUUACAAAAAAGUUAUCCAACUGGCUGUAACUGUGUAAGGAGAAACAAUGUUCUACGAGGGCCACAAAAGUAAGGGGUGUAAGAGAUGAUUGAAGGAUUGCUCUUUGUUGUCAACAUUGGAUUUCCAAUCUUUUAGGCUUAUAGUCUGAUGUAAUUCAAAGCUGGAAUUAAUCUCUCUUUUUUAUUCAAGAAUUCUGUUGUAUCAUUCUCAAUAGGAGAAUGAUAAUUUAUAGCUGUGAGUGUUGGUUGAGUGUAACUAAUCAGUUAUUGGCAAUAACAGCUGCCAACAGCUUAUUAACAGAAGAAACAGCUACUAACAACAACAGUUGAAAACAGGAAUAACAGCUACUAACAGACAAAACAGCUACUAACAAAGAGUGGUUAAAACGGAAAUAACAGCCAAUAGUAAGAUAGUUAAUGACUGUAUGUUUGCACUGUUUAUAAUUGCAUCAUUCCAUCCUCCCGAGACUGUACUCGACCACGAGUACAUUAGUCAGCAAGCUGGAAGUCGUCUGGGGCAUGAUAGGGUUUCAAGUCUGCAAUAUUGAAUACCGAAUGGAUGUGCAUGUCCGGGGGAAGUUCGACCUUAAAAGCAUUAUCUCCAUAUUUUUCUGUAAUGCGAAAUGGGCCGAUCUGUCUAUCCUUCAGUUUGUUGUACGUUCCAGUGGGGAAUCUGUUUUUUCUUAGGUGUACCAUUACUAAGUCCCCUUUGGAGAAAACAGUUUGCCUCCUCUUUUUGUCUGCUGCUUUCUUAUAGGAAUUAGUGGAUUGGACAAGGUGGUCAUGAACUUCCUUGUGCAGUUUCUCGAUAUCCUCUGCCAUGGUUUCGGCCUCUUUGUGACUUUCUACAGUAACAGGGAGGGAUGCGAGGUCAAAUGUCAACCUCGGUCGUCUAGUGUACACGACUUCAAAGGGGCAUUUGUCAGUCGAUCGGUUCUUCAUGUUGUUGAAGGCAAACUCUGCUUGUGCGAGGGACAAAUCCCACUGUUUAGGUUUAGAGCCACUGAGGCAGCGUAUCAAGUUACCCAGUGUUCUGUUUGUUACCUCAGUCUGUCCGUCGGUCUGAGGGUGAGCUGUUGUGCUAUACUUCAGCGUUGUAUCAAAUUUUCUCCACAGUGUCUUCCAGAAAUGGCUUAGGAACUUAACAUCCCUAUCAGAGACUAUGGUCUUAGGUACUCCAUGUAAUCGGGUGAUCUCCUUGAAGAAUAGGUUAGCUAUGUAUACAGCAUCAUUUGUUCUCUUGCAAGCGAUGAAGUGAGCCAUUUUGCUGAAUCGGUCAACAACCACCAUGACUGAAUCAUGGUUUCUUUGAGUCUUGGGAGUCCGAGUACAAAGUCAAUUGAGAGAUCUUCCCAGAUUGAUUGUGGAAUCGGCAGCGGGGUAUAUAACCCUGCAUUAGUUCGGGAGCCCUUGGCCCGUUGACAAACGGAACAUCUCUUCACAAAGUUAUUAGAGUCUUUUCUUAGCUGUGGCCAGUAGUACCGUAUGGAGAUCGUGUCAAAGGUCUUGUCUUGCCCGAAAUGUCCGGCUAAUCCGUUGGAAUGAGCUUCCUUUAUUAAGGCUUCCCGCAGAGAAGUGUGUGGUAUGCAUAAUUGGUCUCCCUUGAAGAGGAAUCCUUCUAGGAUGUGGUAUCCUUCAGCCCUUAGGUGAUUGGAGCAUUUAUGCCAGAUGUCUGCGAAGUCAGCAUCUCUUUCGUAUAGUUCUGGCAGGUGCUCGAAAGCAAUUAUUUCUGAGGAGAGAAGUGUGAGCAGGGAGCCUUUUCUACUCAGCGCGUCAGCCACCUUGUUCUCUUUUCCAGCCUGGUGUUUGAUAACAAAAUCGAAUCUCUGUAGAUAAGAUAUCCAACGGGCAUGCAUCCGGCUGAUAUUCUUUUGAGAUUGAAGAUAUUUCAGGGAGAAAUGAUCUGUUAAGAGAACAAAUUCUUUGGAGAGCAAGUAAUGUUCCCACUGCUUGAGAGCUCGAACUAAGGCAUAUAAUUCCUGCUCGUACGUGCUCCAUGUUUGUCGUGCGGUGCUCAAUUUCUCACUGAGGUAUUCAAUCGGGUGACCUCGUUGGGAUAAGACUGCCCCAAUUCCCGUGCCACAGGCGUCUACUGCUACUUCGAAAGGAGAAGAGAAAUCUGGCAGCUGCAGAACAGGGCUGGAAGCUAACCUUUUCUUUAUUUCUUCGAAGCUCUCUUGUUGGAAUGAAGUCCACUUAAAGUUUCCCUUCUUUAAGCAGUCGGUCAGUGGUGCGCAGAUGGAGCUGAAGUUCUUUAUAAACUUUCUGUAGAAAGAAGCCAGUCCUAGGAAGGCUUGAACUUCUUUGACAGUGGUUGGAGCCAACCACUCUCGUAUUGCUUCAACCUUUCUUGGUUCCAUGCUUACUUCUCCUUUCUUGAUUAUAAAACCAAGAAAUGUAAUUUCAGACUUCAAGAACUCACACUUCUUUUGAUUGAUGUAUAGCUCCUUUUCUGUCAAUACUUGAAACAACUUCUUAAGGUGGAGCAAGUGUUCGUCGUUCCCACUGCUGUACACCAAUAUAUCAUCGAAAUAAACCACAAUGAAUUUGUUGAGGAAGGGGUGCAGUACCUGAUUCAUUAGCCUCAUGAAGGUACUGGGAGCAUUGGAUAGGCCGAAGGGCAUUACCAUCCAUUCAAACAGCCUUUCAUUCGUCUUGAAGGCAGUCUUCCAUUCAUCACCGGGUCGGAUACGUAUUUGAUGGUAUCCACUCCUUAGGUCAAUUUUCGAGAAGAUGGUGGCCUUGCCGAGUUGAUCCAAGAGGUCUCCAACUCUUGGGAUAGGGAAUCUGUAUUUUACUGUGAUUCGGUUAAUGGCUCGGCUAUCUACACACAUUCUCCAACUUCCAUCCUUCUUGGGUGUGAGGAGAGCUGGGACAGCACAAGGGCUGAGGCUUGGCUUAAUAUGCCCUUUCUUGAGUAGAUCUUCGAUAUGUUCAUGGAGCGCUGCAUACUCUUUAGGGGUCAUUCUGUAAUGAGCCAGGUUCGGCAGUGAUGCUCCGGGGAUCAGAUCUAUAUGGUGCUGAAUGUCUCGAAGAGGUGGCAGUCCGUCAGGUUCUUUCUUGAGGUGUGGGAACUCCUCGAAAAGUUGUUGUAAUUGUGGUUCCAACUCUCCAGCCUGUUCUUCAUUGGGGCUGCCUGUCAUCACAAGGGCUAAAAUAUCUUGCUUUCUUUCUUUUAAAAGGGUUUUGCCACUGCACGUUGUGAAUAGCUGCCCCCUUGUCUUACUGUUCUCCUCGUUCUUUUUGGUCAAGGGCAGUAGAGUUAUCCGUUUACCCAUCCAGUGGAAUUCGUAUGUGUUUUCUCUCCCCUUAUGUAAGGUUUGAGUGUCGUGUUGCCACGGUCUGCCUAGGAGGACAUGGCAUACAUCCAUGUCGAUUACAUCGCAUACGAUCUGAUCCUUGUAGCUGUUGCCGAUAGAAAGGGGAACCGUACAUACCUCGUUAACUGUGGAUUCAUUCCCUUUCUUGACCCAUCCUAUCUUGUAGGGGUUUGGAUGCCACCUUCAAGUUCAGGUUGGAGACUAUCUUCUUGGUUAUAAAGUUUUCACUGCUACCUCCAUCGAUAAUAACAUCGCAUACCUUCCCAUUAAUGGUGCACCUUGUCUUGAAAAGACUGUGGCGUUGUGGGUUCUUUUCUUCCUUGGGAGCAAUGAGUACUCUAUGGAUAACACAAGAGAUCCUAUCUCCUUCAUCGGCUUCAAUUUCUUCCGUUUCCUCCUCUGGUUCUGACUCACCCUCGCCAGGUAAGUUAUCUUCUUCAUCAGCUAAGGCAAUUGUUUUUCUUUGAGGGCAAGAAUUUGAUAAGUGACCUGGUUGUCCGCAUCUGAAGCACUUGCCCAAUGAUGGGCGAGUGUAAUUAUUUUGGUUCUUGCUUCUGUUGAUCAUCUCUGCCUUCUUCUCAUAUGUUGCAGUCUGAGAGUCGGUUUCUUUUCCUUUUCCAUAAGCUGGUGCCAUCGGCUGAUCAUUCGACUUGUUCGCAUAGUUUGUCUUCUUGUUUGAUGUUGGUUCCCAUGUUCUUCGAUUCAUGGUGUUGGUCUUUAGAGCUAUCAUCUCUUCUACUGUUUCGGCCAAUGAAAUUGCUUCAGAUAGGAAACGAAGAGGCUGUAAUCUUACUUUUUCUUUAAUAUCAAAACGCAGACCCCCCACAAAUCUGGCUAUUUGAUGCUGCUCGUUCUCACUUAGAUUUGUCCUGGCACUUAAUCGGUGGAACUCUUCUAUGUAUUCGGUGACUGUCCUGGUACCUUGACGACAAUUCUGAUAUUGGUUGUAUAAAGUCUGCUCAUAAUUCGGGGGCAGGAAUCGUUCUUUUAAUAGUUUCUUCAUUUUUUCCCAAGAGCGUACGGGUCGUUUGUUGUAUCUUUGCCUGUUGGCUUCCAGUUGCUCCCACCAUGCUGAUGCGCCCCCUUUGAGUUUCAAGGCCACGAGACGUACCUUUUUCUGUUCAGGGGUGUCCAUGUAACUGAAAAAGUUCUCAGUACUUUUUAGCCAAUCCAAAAAGGAUUCGAUAUCUCUCUUGCCACUAUAUGAAGGUAAGUCAACCUUCAUCUUGAAGUCAUGAUGAGUUUCUGCCCGCGUGCCGAAUCUCCUGCCGUGUUGUCCUCUCUGUGUUUCAUCUAAGGCGUCCCAGGGGUUGUUCUGGUCGUCACUGCUCGAAGAUUCGUCUUCUUGCUCAUUAUGGACGUCGGCGUAGAAUUGUGGUGGUGGGUUGAGAUCAGCCCUUCCUCGAUUAGCGUAUCGUGGAUUGUGGAGGUUUCUGAAAUUUCCCCGUCCACGUUGCCUUCGUCUGUUGUUGAACUCCCCAUCGUCUGCCAUUUCUGCUUCGAGCUGCGGUGGUGCCCGUAACUCGUCCAUCCUUCUUGCCAAAAGUUCAAAGUUAUCCAUUACUCUGUCUAUCUUUCGGUGUAAGUCUCCCAAGGAGUCCUCGACGGCCAGCAAGCGAACCGUUGAUGUCCUUGGUGAGAGGGCGGCGGUGUCUUCCGCCUCUUCUUGCACACGGUUGUCCCCCGUGGCUGGGUUGUUUCCUCUUCGGCCAGCCAUCCGUCCAAGAAUCGGGGCUGCUCUGAUACCACUUUGAUGUAAUUCAAAGCUGGAAUUAAUCUCUCUUUUUUAUUCAAGAAUUCUGUUGUAUCAUUCUCAAUAGGAGAAUGAUAAUUUAUAGCUGUGAGUGUUGGUUGAGUGUAACUAAUCAGUUGUUGUAACUGAUUAGUUUGGCAAUAACAGCUGCCAACAGCUUAUUAACAGAAGAAACAGCUACUAACAACAACAGUUGAAAACAGGAAUAACAGCUACUAACAGACAAAACAGCUACUAACAAAGAGUGGUUAAAACGGAAAUAACAGCCAAUAGUAAGAUAGUUAAUGACUGUAUGUUUGCACUGUUUAUAAUUGCAUCAUAGUCAAAGGAUAGGGAAGAUUAUCUACGGAUGUGCUUCAUUUUGCAAUUUGUAUGGAGUUAUGUUUGGAAAGAAAUAUUUAAGCUUAUAAUGGGCAGGAGAUAGAUGAAUAAAACCUUUAAGUAGGAAUUCUUUUAAAUUUUGGGUAUCUUCAAUUAACAUUGUGCUAAAGAACCAGAUUUUGCUAAAUAGAUGACCUAUUUGAAUACUCCAUUUGGAGGGUUUGGCUUUUGGAUCCCCAACCUUCCCCCACAUCACUGCUGCUUAUAUGUUGUAAAUGCCUUCGUUAAUGGGUCCUUUCUAUUGUAUCCUUUGUCGAAAGGUGGAGGAAAACAUGGACCACAUUCUCCGAGGGUGUCAGUUUGUGAGAUCAGCGUGGAAUUGUUUUUCUUUUAGGAGUUUGAUAUUGCGAUUGCUCGCCAGAGGGAUAUUUGUUCAAUGAUUGGGGAGUUCCUCCCCCAUUUGUCUUUUAAAGUGAGGCUGUUUUUUUGUGAUUCGUAGGGUGUGUGUUUGGUUGUGGGAGAGGUACAGUAGAGUGUUUCGAGGUGCGAAUGGAGACCCUUGUGCGGUUUGGUCCUUGGUGAGGUUCUGUGUUUCUCUUUGGGCUUUGGUUUCAAAGACCUUUUGACAAUAGAGUGUUCUCAAUGAAAACUUUUCAAUAUAAUAAAGCAGUCUACAGUGGCAUGAGUCAAUUUUUCUUGAGCCAUAUUUUAAUAGAAUUCUUUUGUACUGAAUUAGAUGAUCUUCUUACCUUGAUGGUUUGUAAUCUGAACAGUUCUUACUUGCAUUCCUUGAAGAGAAGCCUGUUAAGAGAAUGUCAUGUCAUGAGGUAAUUCAUUUUUGCUGUCAAGUGCAUGCCUACAAGGACUCUCCUGUUUUCUCAUUUUCAGCUUGGACAGUUGUUCUUUCAGGAUGCUCAACGUAAUAUGCAGCCAAGUUUUAUAGUUGAUGAUUCAGAUGAUGAAGACAUGGUUGAUGAUGCUGUUGAAGAGGAAAGUGAUGAUGAUGCUGUUGAAGAGGAAAGUGAUGAUGAUGUCUUUGAUUCUGUCUGUGCAUUUUGUGAUAAUGGUGGCAACAUUAUAUGGUAUUUGUUUUCUGUUCCUUGUUAUCAGAUGAACAUUUUGGGUAAUGCUUUAAAAUGCUGGAGGUGGCCUUGAGGCUUUUCCUCUUGGAGAGGCCGAGGAGUAAGCCUCAAAAAGUGAAUAAAAACAUCUUGAAAAUCCUAAAUUGGUAUAAAUAGCCAAGUAGUGCUAAACAUGAUUGUCAUGUAAAAGUGCUAAGAGAAAAUUCACCCCUGCAAUUUUCACUUGAUCAAAAAAUUCUAAAGGAUAUCUUUAUCAUUACUACAACUACUAAUAUGUAAUAGGAUUGAUUUAUAGUAUAAAUUUUGCCUUCAGUGUUUUUAAAGUCACAACAACAAAAGUAAUCCUAAUUCAUAUUGACACAACUUAAACCUUGAUAUUUUUGAAGAAGCUAGGCAAAUGACUAUUUUUUUUAUCACUAGAUGAGGCACAUAGAUUUUAAGCCUUGAUGCAUUUUUACAAAGCUGUUAGCUUCUUCUAUGAGAGGUGUAAGCCUCUUAUGGUUGUCGUAAAUCUCAAGGCUAAAACUUAGAAUUUUGCCUCAGGAUGAGCCUCAAGGUGUGAGCCUCAAUAGCUUUUUGGAACAUCGAUUCUAGGUUCAUAUUUUGAAAUACUUGUAAACAACAUUGGGCGUGGUUAUUGGGACCUGCGAAAAAAGUUAAAAGGUGCUAUGACGAAUAUGUUCAAACCCUCAUGUAUGCUGCCUACCAUAUCUAAUCCUACAAAAUUUUGACAAAAGAAGGUUGUGAGCCCAUAUGGUUUCCUUGUGAAAUAAGUUGAGGAGCACGUAGGUUAGCUUGGACACUCAUAAAUAUAAAAAAGGGUAAUCGUAAUGGAUGACCAUUUGAGGAAUAAUAAUUAAGGAUAUAGCAACAUUUUAAAAAAAUUGCAAAUAUAGCAAAACUAUCGCUGAUAGACUUGUAUCAUUGAUAGACUCGUAUGAUUUAUCGGUGAUAGACCAAUUUUUAUAACAUGGUCUAUCAGUGAUAGAUUCUAUCAUUGAUAGAAUUUGACACAUUUUGCUAUAUUUGCAAUUUUUUAAAAAUGUUGCUAUAUACUUAACUAUUUUGAAUUUAAUUGCUAAAUUUGCAACUAUCCCUAUAAAAAAACAAAACUUUUGAAAUAUAUGUUUUGUGAAUUUUUGAGGUGGUUAAAAACAUAGAAUCAUCAUCUUUCAAAUUCACACAGUUAUUCCAGUAGUCAUGGAAGUUCUCUUCUCUCUCAUUUAGAUGGCAUCCUGUUAGAGAAAAGGCCAAGAAAAUACAUGGUGGUACAUAGUUUUGGAGCAUCAUCUUGGAGUGUUCUUUCUAAAUUUUUUGUACCUAUUCUCUCUCUAUAGUUUUCAGUAUCUUCUUUGGUUUUAGGGUUUCCUUUUUGUAUAUUUCAUUAUUUUUGAUGAAAUGUUGAAGUAUUCAUUUUCUGUAGUGCAUUCCUUUCUGUUUUGUUUAAAGUGAUCCAUUGAUAUUUGAUAAUUCAUUUUAUGGAUCUUGUGUCCGAUUUUAACUAAAUGAUAAGGUUUUUUUUUCUUAUGGAGAGAGUAAUAUUUCAUAUCUCAACUGCCAAUACCUGUUCUCCUGUUAUUUUUUAAUAUACCUUCUGCCUUUUUUUCACAAUACACAUAUUGUUUUUUUCCCCUACUUUAAAUUAUCGAGGUUGGUUACUGGCUUUGCAAAAUUGUUUGUUUCUUAAAAUCAUAGUUCGAUGGAAUUUCCUUCCCUUUUAGCCUUCUUCUCAAAAUGACAUAGAAAUGACAGCUCGACCAGGAAAUCACACACAAAAGUGUUUCUAGUUCAAAAUAAUAUGAUCUAAUGAAUAAUUACAGAAGUCACUGGAAAUUUUCUUCCAAGUAGAAGCAUCAAGCUAAGCCUAAUAAGCUAUUUUGAUUUUCUUAUAGCUGUGAUGGGAGGUGCAUGAGGUCCUUUCAUGCAACUGAAGAGGAUGGUGAUUGUUUCUCGCUCGGUCUCUCUAAAGAAGAAGUAGAUGUAUGAUAAUAUUCAUGUAUGUUUUCUAUGCUUGCAAACUCCCUUUGUUAAUUUUCUUCAAUAUCUAUGGGCUUGCUGGCAGGCAAUUGAAACCUUUAUUUGCAAGAAUUGCGAGUACAAACAGCACCAGUGCUAUGCUUGCGGGAAUUUAGGUUCAUCUGAUCAGUCUUCUGGUGCUGAGGUAUGGGAUUAAUAAUGUUUACUGGAUGUUUUUGAUUUUUUUUACUUUCAAUAUACACUGUUUUUGCGGGUAUGUUUUUCUUAGAGAGAAACACGAAUGAGAGAGAGGAAGGUGUCUUUGCGGGAAUAAAAUGGGUCAUAAAUCCAAUUUGAACAAGAUAUCAAAGGGAAAAUUACACUUUUGAUCCUUGAGGUUUGUUUUGAAUUGUUGUCUAAGUUUGAAAAUUGAACAAUCGAGUCUCCUACAUUUGAAAAAUGCUUGAUUUUGCUCCCUUUAUUAACAGGAUCUACAUGUGGUAAUUACUAUGAAUAAAAAUAUUAUUAAUUAAUAUAAAUAAGUUGAAUAAAAUACUAAUUUUAAUUUUAUUGAAUUCUCUCUCUCCUCUCCUCCUUCAACCCCUCUCCAUCAUUGUUGUGCCGCUCACCGUUGUUGCUAUUAAAGGAAAAGCCCACCAGCUCCCUUUUUCUUCCUCUUCCAACAAAAAAUGUAGGAAAUAUGAACACAAAUACAAAUAUAGGAUAAUUCAAUAGGAUACAAAUGAUAUGCCAAUUUUUGAAAAACUAGGAUAUGGAUACGUUGAAGAUACAUUAUUUUAAUUAAGAGAAUAUCAAAUAUAUGCAGAUUUAACAUAAAGAUGCUAAAUGUAAUGCACUAAUAGACAUGAAGUGUCAAGUUCAGUGUUUUUAAAGGCUCAAGGCGCACUAAGGCGCAUUGGUCCUCUGGAGCCUAGGCACAAGGCGCAAAAAAAGGCGUGAGCUUUUUUUGAUAAGACGCACUAUAUAUAAAAAGAAAAGAAAAUAUAUAUAUACACACUCGUAGCAGAGCAACAAUGUAUAAAAUAUAAGUACCCCAAUAUAAGUAGCCUAAACAACAAAACACAACAGAAAACUACCCAGUAUUCAACAAGUCAACAAUCAAAAUAAAAGUUCAUCCCUAAAGAUCAAACUCAUCAUCACUAAAUUGAUCCUCGUCUUCAUUCACUCCUUCGUUAGACUUAUUGCCAUCAGUAUCUUCUUCUUCCAAAUCGAAGUCAUCUAAAUUUACUUGUUUGCGUUGCGUGGUAGACGAGGAUGAACAUGAAACAUUAGUCUUUGCUCUAGAGGUACUAGCUCUAGAAUAGAAUGAUGGUUCUUUUGCUCCGACAGCUCUAGAAACAUCACCCCACGUUAAAGAAUCAUCGUCAAAUACCAACUCAUCAUCCUCCUCAGAAUCGUCAUCCAAUCUUCCAAUCAACCAUUCGUUACUAUCAUCAAUGUCUUUUAAGGACAUGGGAUCGACAAUAUCUUGUAGGUUGUAUCGACGUUUUAAUGCUGUGUUGUAUUUGAUGAACACUAGAUCAUUCAAACGACUUUGAGCAAGCCUAUUUCGUUUCUUGCUAUGAAGCUGAAAAAUUAGAAAGUUUCAUUAUCAGUGAAUCAACAAAUUUUGAUUCUCAUUCUCAAUGUACUUAAGGAGAGAAAAGGUAACUUGUUCAAACACACUCCAAUUACGCUCGCAUCCAGAAGCGCUACAAGUAAGACCUAAAAUUCUCACAUCAAACUUUUGCAAGCUUGGAGUUGAUUGUCCAAAAUUAUCCCACCAUUCCACUAUAGGCACAAACAAAAAAAUAUAUAUUAAUAGAAGAACUUGUUGCUAGUAUCGUUGAGUAAUCGUUUAGUUGAAAUUUACCUGGAGAUAUUUUGUCCCUUUGUCUGAUUGCUAAAGGUUGUCCGAAUAAUGCUUCAGCUCUCUUAUACUUGCUUAGUUCUGCAAGUAUUUUGUCUUGUACUUCCAAUGAAGCAACCAUUUUUGUUAUGCAUGAGUAGAGUCCAUUAACUAUUUCAUCAUCCUUCUGGAUAUUAGGAUUCAGAUAAUAGAAUGACAGGUUUAAAUAAUACCCCGCUGCAUGCAGGGGACGAUGCAACUGAAGCUCCCAUCUUUUAUCAAUUAUGGUGAAAAUGUCCUUGUAUUUUUCUUCAUUAUUAUUAAAGGAUUUAGCAAUAGCUUCCUUAGCUCUAUCCAUGGCCUCAUAAAUAUAUCCUAGGUGGCUUCUUCUCGCCAUCAACCAAUCUAAGAACUCGGACUGGGCCAGAUACUUUAAGAGUGAAAACAAUUGUAGUCCAAAAACUAGCCAACAAAAUAGUCUGAACUACUCGUUUCGCUUGUUGCUCCUUACUCCAUUUGCUAUUCUUCCAUUCAUCUGAAGUAAACAUCUUCCUCAGAUUAUUCUUUUGACGAUGUAUACUCGAUAAUGUAAUGCAGGCAGUAGCAAAACGAGUCUUAGCUAGUCUAACUAAGUCCUUUUGGUUAGUAAAACAUCGCAUCAUGUUUAACAAUCCAGGAUGAACAUAUAUGAAAUUGCUAAUCUCCAUGCCUCUUUUCAAUGCUUUUCGAAUAUUCGAGAUCUUGUAUACAUCCUCCAACAUCAAAUCUAAGCAAUGAGCGGUACACGGAGACCAUAUUAACUGUGGUCGCUUUGCUUCUAACAAUCUCCCUAUUAACAAAGAAAAUAAGUACACAUUUAACGUAGAACUCAACUAAAUCUAACAAAUUAAAGUUAUAACUUGUAAGUAGUCUACAUUCUUACCUGCCAUCACAUUUGCUGAGGCACUAUCGGUAACUACUUGUCCAACAUUCGCUUCUCCAAUUCGGUCUACAAAAUUAUCAAAUAACUCGAACAUCUUCUUUCCAUCUUUCACAUAAGAUGAAGCAUCGAUGGACUCAAUAAACAUGGUGCCUUUAGGACUGUUAACUAAAAAGUUAAUUAAUGUCCUAUUUCUUCUAUCGGUCCAUCCAUCAGCCAUAACAGUGCAUCCAACCUUGGCCCACUCUGCCAUAUGGUUACUCAUCAACUCAUUUGUUGCUUCUAAUUCCUUUUUCAAACAUGGAACUCUUAACUCAUGAUAAGAUGGUGGUUUCAAUCUAGGACCGAAUUGCCCAAUUGACUCAAUCAUAGGGGCAAAACUAUCAUAUGUGCAGGCAUUCAGAGGCACUCCUGCAUCAUAAAACCAUCGAGCAAUUCUUUGGAUGGUGUGCUCUCUCAUUUCCUUCUUGUAUGCCCCAUUCAAUGAAGUUUGUUUUCCUUUGUCCUUUCUAUUUUGAACCACAGUUUCUGGGUUAGGAGUAAAAAAUGCAUCCAUUGGACCCUUUUGCCUUGGCUUCUUCAAGCUCGGGCCCCUUGGUGUUGUUAUGUUGUUUACACUAACACUCCCUUCAUCUUCAUCCUCGAUACCGUAAUCUUCUACAUCAAUGUCCACAAUCAGAUUUCUUUGUUCUUUAAUCUCUUUUUUUUUGGACAUGUACUCUUUAAUUUCUUCCUUCACGUGAUCCGAACAUUUUGUACAGGCGGUGACAUUUCUGUAACCACCAGCGAGGUUGUUUCAUUCUAUAUACCCCUCCUUUUGUUACUUUCGAACAAAAUCCACAGACAAACGUAUUUUUAUCUUGGUCAUUUUGCAAUUGACCAUAUUUCCAUGCCGGAUUUUUUCUUGAACUUUUAUCAGCCAUCUAUGAUCUAAGUUAUAAAAAAAAAAAAAAACAGAAGCUAUUUAAAACAGAAGCUGUUAUAAAAAGAUAAAAAAACAGAAGCUAUCUAUGGAUGGGAUGAAGCUGUUAUAAAUGGAGGAUUGGAGGGGAGUGUGUUGUGAGAGGGAUGGGAUGAAGGUUGAGUUUGAUGGGUUAUUGAAGGAAGUUGUGGUCGAGAAGUAUAAGAAGAAGAAGAUGUCCAAAACUUGCACACAAUAAAUAAGUCAAGAGACAAAACCAAUAGUCACUCAAUGGGUAUACCACGCUAUGAAAACACAAAACGACAUAUGUAGUUCGUAGCCGUCAAAUCAGCAAAUUGAUAGCUAACUUAGACCAAAACAUACUAGAACCAAAUGAAUCUGUGACACAACAAAGUGUCACAGUAGAGUAUGAAAUUUAAUGCAAGAUGUCAAAUCAACAAAGGAGAGAUACUCAGAAUUCGACAUCUAAAAAAAUAGCCCACUAUGCUUAGCAUGAAAUAUAGACUUUUGGUCAAAACUUGAUUGUAGUUAUCUCAAUCCUCUGCUAUAUUUCAUCUCAUUCCUCUCGAGUUUCAUUGGAAUUGUAGGUGGAAACUUAGUUCUCGAAAAUGAAAGAGAGGAUCCACCUUCCAUUCUCUUAGCAACCAAAUUAGAGGAAAUGACAAUAGAGCCAAAAGAUGCAAUAGAUAGAAAACAUUUCAAGUUCGUUCAUCCAUAUUUGUUCUUUUCACCAUUCUGAGCAAUCAAUAUGUUAAAUGAAAGUAAAAGGAUAAAAACUAAUAAUCCUUUGAAAAGCAUGUACGAAAUGGAAGAAGUUGUUGAGUGAAAAAAAGGAAUGUGAGAUUUUGAAUGUGAAUCUGACGAAAGACAAUGAAUUGAUUAAGAAGUUGUUGGAGGAAUCAGGCAGGGUAAUUGAAGAUUUAGAGAGGAAAGUGGAUGUGAAAAUGAAGGAGAAAGGUGAGAUUGAAAAGGAAAAAAAUGGGCUGGAAAUGGAGGUUGAGAUUUGAGAAGUUAGAGAAGGAAGUUGCUCAAUUAAAACAGAGUACAUUCUGUUUCAAACAGGAAAAGGAAGAGAACGGGAAGAGAAUUUCUGAGCUUCAAAUGAGAAUUGAAUAAGCUGUGGUGAAAGAAAGUGGGAUGCUGAUGGAGUUUGAUGUUCUUGUCAAAGAGUUACAGAAGAAGGAGAAAGCAAUGCAGAUGUUAACUGAACAAAGAGAUUCACUUGAUGUGAAUUUAAAUCUAAUCCAAGAGGAGGCAAAAAGUUUACAACGUACGAUUGAGAUACUCACCCGCGAUAAAGCUGAAAUGGAGGAGGUGAAAACUGAAGCAGAAUAUUAUUGUCUUCUCUUUUCCUCUGUUUUUGCACCAAAAAACAGAGUAAUGGCAGCCGCAGCACCAAAUAGAUUUGUUGACGUUUUGUGUGAAGAAGAAGGGUGGAAAAGGAAGCAAAAAGUUUUGAAGUAGAAGCAGAACGGAAGAACCGAAAAAGUAGAUGAAGAGUCGUGUUGAAGAAAAUUCAUGCGCGGGAGGAGAAGGGUGAAGGGUUGUUUCUUCACUUUCACGUAAUAGGUUUAAAAAAUUUAGAUAAUAAUAGUUUUUUAUAAUUAAAGCCCAGCCCAUAAGUUAUAAAAAUAGCCCACUCCUAAUUCGACUUGCGCCUUUGAGGCGCGCGCCUAAUCUGGGCUUUUUAGAAUUCUCCGCACUUCCUCACAAAUAAGCUCCAAGUGGGCGCCUUGAGCCUAGGCGCACCUAGGCGCGCGGCUUAGUGCGCUUUUUAAAACACUGGUCUAGUUGAUGACAAUACUACAAAAUACUUUACCAGAAGUACUAUCAAAGGUAUUGAAAUACAAUUUCUCUUAAAAAAUAUUGAAAUACAAUUGCAAUGGAAUAGAAUAGAAAAGGUUGGCGCACCAGAGUUAGAAUGACAGAGGAGAAGAAGAUUAGAGAGAGAAGUACGAGGAUAAAUGAAAAACUUCUUCAUUGAAUUGUUAAAGAUAUUUAAGUGGGUUAUUUUGUGUGACUUAGGCGGGAUGGAUGAAGAUUAGAUGAUUCUAGUUUGGUCUUUUUAAAUAUUUUUCCUUUUAGUUUUGGGUGGGGGCAAUGGGCUUUUUAAAUAUGCUACCUAGUUUGGAUUGGGAAAGAUUAGAUGCCUUCUUUUUAGAAGGUCCAACGUGUCCACUUCAGAAGUGCAUUUGAUAUUUGUUUUUUAUUAAAAGCAAAUAUGUCAAAUCACUUAUCCGAUAUGUAUAUGGGAAGUAUUUAGGAGUAUUGAUAUUUGAUACGUAUUUGAUACGAUUUUUUGCUUCACAUGGAGUAUUCAUGCUUCAUAAGCAAAAAAAACCCACACCCCACUCCCCACUCCUUUCUUCUUUGAGAAAAAAAGCCCUCGCCUUGCCUUCAUCAGUGAGAGGGCAUCGAACUUGUACACCAUUAUGUACCCUUUGAAACCACCAGCACCAGCACCAGCACCCUUUUUUGACAAGAAACAAGCUUUUUCAUUAAAAUAAUGAUAUGAGACUAUGCUCAAAGUACAAUGGAAACAACAAGCAUAAAGCUGUGGAUCAGGAGGUGCACCCGGGCAUCUCAACUAGGUUGACACCCCAUUAGUACCAUCAACACCUUGAAAAGAAACUUGCAAAUAACUUAAUAACUUAAAAAUUACAAUCAUUGCCAAGAUUUUUUUUUUUUGAAACGAAAAUAAGCCUCUUUAUGAAGGAUAAUGAGACUAAAGCUCAAAGUACAAGAGUAUUAUACCAAAACCAAAAGAACUAAGGGAAAAAACAAGCUAAAACAUAAACAAAGACUAUAAUCGGGCAACAUAAAUAUGAUGGAAACUUAAAUACGAGUCCGAAUCAGAAAAUAAACGAGCUAAUCAAAGCCACACAAUACAGUACAUCAGUAGAAAGCUAAGUAAAAAGCAAUACUUAAACACUCUCUCAAAAUUAGCCCACUCCACUCGUAUAAAAAGUACUGCACAUCCAAAUCUUCAAGAUGAUAGGAGAAAAUGAAAGCCAAGAAGAUGCAAACAGCUGCCUCAAAGCUAACUUGCCAACACAAUCCAAAGUCCAGAGGAUCUGGAAGUAGUCUUCUUCCAAUCCACAUAAACUUGCCAGCACUGCCUUCAACUCAUUACUCCAGUUAUCAAAGAGAAGUCAGCUUUAGCAAUGUCAGUUUUCUGAAAAAACCUUCAACCCACCUUGUAAGAAAGUCCCUGAAAAUCUUUAAAGCUUCCAACUAAAAUCUGGCCGACAUCUUUUGAGCUCUAUAUGCUUUCUAUGACUUCUUUAACGAAGCUGUCCAUUCUAGAAUCUUGAAUUAGUAGUAUGUCUGGACUAAUUUCUUUUGAAAACUUCUAAGAAUCAGCCACCAUGUUUUUGUCCAAAUCAUCAUGCAAUUCAAUAGCUAAUCUUCAAUUUUCAACCCUGAGGAUAUCCACCGAAUGACCUGUUUUCCUUUGGAUUAGGCUAAAGAGAUUUCACAGGUAUCCACUAUGGAAUGCAAUUUUUAGGUAUGUAUUUUUCUUUUACAGUGGAGUAAAGGAAAGCUUUUCUUAAUGGAAAGUAAUUGAACCUCUUCAGAUUGGAAUAAAAUACUUAAAGCCUUGUUCAUAUCAACUGGCAUUUUAUUGUAAUUUCUAUCUCCUCAUUGUCCUCUUUCCUGUUCUUCACUGCUUACACUUGCCAAUGACUCUUCAUCAAAGUCUUUCGUACCUUUAUGAGAAGUCUGAAAAUUGCUAUGUAAUCCUCGCACAGAAGGAGGAUUGAAAGACUCUUGGGAAUUACAUCCGAAAUGGGAACCAGGUUUAUUCAAAAAAGGUAAAGAAGCUGACCUGUUUUGAUUUAGGCCAGGGACUUGGAUCUUGACACAACAGCCUCAAGCAAGUCAGGGUUUGUGAUUUUUGUCCAAGAAUUGCUAAAAGAAGUCCUUUUCUUGGUCAAGUGUUUUCGGAAAGGCUUAACCAAAUAAGAACUUCCUUGAGACAUUUUAGGAAUCUUGCACUUCUUGUUUCUCUUCAUUCGUUGAUGCAAGCAAAUGUUAGCCGGAAAUUUCUGAGGUAUUUCGAACUCACUCGUAUUGUGAGAUGGAGACUGAAGAAGAUCAUUAUUCGAGUUAUCCUUGGACAAUUGGAAUGCUAUAUUCACUGUACUGUUUGAUUGGUUGGAAAAAGGCAAGGAAGAGUUGGAUUCCAAGGCAGAGGAAGAUAUGAGAACACGGCUGGAAGGUGGAAGGGUUCUUGAGUGAUUAGUUAAUGCUGCUGAGCUGUCUUUUGGGAGGAAUAACGGAGGAACUACAACAGGCUCUCUUUUAAAUUUCUUUUUCGUGCCCUUACGGAUGGAAGCAGAACAAUUACUUUGCAGAGAAUCAUUUCCAUUCACAUUCUCUUUCCUUGUUAAAGCUUUUUUCGUGUUCAUACUAGGCUGGAAAGUAGCCCCAUUUGAGCUUUCCACCAUUUGAGGUUAGACCAAAGCCCAAUGAAUUAAAUGCAUAGAUAUCUUCUGCUGAAUUCUCUCUCUUCCUUGGAUACAGCCUAUUAAUUUCUAACGGACAUAUUUCAUUUCCAAUCAGAUUGUCGGCCUCCGGCGCCGGUGAGGAAACAUGAAUUUGAUUCAAAGCUUCUAAUGGAUUUCUUGAAAAGGAGGGAGCUGUUUUAGUGGAUUUAAACACAUCAAGUUCUUGAGGGAAGAACAAAACAUUAACAUCUUCAUCUUCCAAAGCUUGCCUAACCCUUAGUUAAUCAAUAGGGUUUUUGAAAAUCCUUAACAAUAAGACUUCCCUUGAUAAUACAUGGGGGAUCCAUAGGCUCAAUAUCAUCAAAAUUCAAGAAAAAAUUACUUCUAUUAAAGUCUGUAAUUUCAGUGGUAGUAGGUAUAAUACCACAUAAAUUCGGUUUAACUUGAAUUCUUGCUUCGUUGCAAUUGGUUAGAUUAAGCGUUUCUGUGGCAAUGCUUUCUAAACCCUCAAAAUUCUCUCUGGUGGCUUCGAAGGUUUUUCUACACUAGUAGUCCAGAGGAAGGUUUCCAAUUCUUAACCAUCUGCUGCAGCCUUUCAUUACCAACGGCUGGCUGUUUUUUAAUCUAUCCCAUUUUUCGAACUUUAGGUGAAAUGGCCCCAUCUCCUGCCAUCUCUCAGGUUCAUUGAUGAAAUCUUCAACCAGGCCUUGAUCCAAACUAAUAAGAGCAUUUUCAUCCAAUAGUGGGUUGAUGAUAAUUCUUGUUUGGAAAAAGAUUUCCAGCAGUUUUCGAAUUUCUCUCCAAUAAUCAACGCAAAGAGUAUUGUAACUAUCCACAACUAUUCUGAUGUAGCCUAAGUAAUCUCAAGGAGAAAUCCUCCAAGAACCAAGAUUGAGAAUCUUUUAUUAGAAUGAAUAAUGUGCUUCAUACAAGAGGAGAAGACUUCUAUUACAAAUGGGGCUAAAAAGGGAAUUAAUCUAGAAUAUUACCUAAUUACCCAAUUAACUCUUAGUCUUCUUACAUCAUUUUCAAACUUUGUUUGAAUAACUUCCGAGUUAUUUGUCACCCCCUGACUCUGUUUUGCUCUCUUCAAAAUAGAGGAAACUUGAGAGCUUUCUCCUUCAUCUUUGGUCACAGCCUGAUAAUCAACUUUAAUGGCACUCUCUUUUUUUUCUUUUCAUCAUGGGUUAAGUUACCAUCCGAUUUAACUUUAUCUGUGAAGCUUGUACUCUUAGCCUGGGCUGGAUUAAAAGAUGUGGCAAUUUUAUGUGAAUACCAACUUAUAUACUCUGGUUUUGAAAAGGAAAUUCUCCAGCAUUUUGUGAAAUGCCACCCACCCCUGUUUGUCUUCUCCCUAACACACUCGAAUGAAGGAGUGUCCACCUGAAAAUGGCCAUAGGUCACACAACAUAACACCCAACCCUUUUUUGCCUUGAACUUUGACAACUUCAACCUUCCUUGGUUUAACUCCCCCAUUUCUGGAAGAAACAAUCUGCUGGGCCUCUUAAUAACACUGAUAAUGCUUUCAGGCACCAGCUCACAUCUUUGACAAGGAAGCUAUCGUCUUCUGACCAAAUGCGAUAAUACGAUUGAAGAACUUCGUAACUUACCACUUCCAUUGCAGUCUCACUUCUAAGCUUCCCUGUGCAAUUAAAACGAAACUCAACCACCAGACCUUUAGUGAUUGGUCUGUGGGUAGACUUCACCAGGAGGCUAACGUUGUUAGACUGAAAAGUAGUCGUUGUGAGGCUACUGGAAAAAGAGAGAACCGAAAAGGGAGCAGGAGGGAGGGGGAGGAGGGAUAACAAAGAGAACUUACCUUUUAGCAACUUCCAGAUUUUCUGUUUCAUUUGAACAUUUGUUGUUUCUUCUCACUACAUCAAUAGAAAAGUUCUUGAUCUUUGUUCCAUCGCCAAGAAUAUUCAAAAAUAGCAAAACAAGACUAUGAAGUGUAGUAGAGGAAGAGAGCCAUCUUAUCCACGGUUGCCAUCAACAAUUACAUGGAGAUGAGAGCACUCCAGUUUAAACUAAUAUCUUGACUUGAAUAAUCAGCAGAAGCCUUGGCCCCCAUUAUUCUACACUCUACAUCAAUUCCCCUGAAUAUGUUUUUGCUACCAACUCAAAAGUGAUAGAGUCUAAAGAAUCACUUCAGAUGGUGGUUUGCCAACCCAUGAGGCUUUUCUUUGAGUUCGAAGAAAUGGCACGAGCUCGAUCCUCAUGAAAUUGAUGUCAACUGAGUUGAUUUAAUUGGAAAUGAUGUUAGGGUUGAAAGAGAGCUUGAUUGCAUCAAUUGAAUCAGGAGGGAGAAGGGGAAAGUGGUGAUGUAAGAAGAAUGUGGUUAGCUGGGUCAUAGUCUUAGGUUAAUUCCAUUUUUUACCACCACUUGUAUUAAAACUCUAUAAGUGGAAGUCUUCCCCUCAUGUAUGGACAAAUACUGAAUUAUCUUUUGUUCGAAAAUUCUCGUAGAUUUUCUAGAAAGAUCUCCUUGCUUUUGUUCAAUUCAUUCAUUGUGUGGUGGGGAAGGGGAGAGAUACUUCCUUUUGGGAAGACCAUUGGAUGGGGGAGAGAUACUUACUUUUGGGAAGACCAUUGGAUGGGGGAGAGACCUCUCUGUUUCUUAUUCCCUCUUUCGUAUCAUUUUCUUGAUCACAAACACUGUUUUGUUGCUGAUAUUCUCGUGUGGUCUAGGAGCUCGUAUUCCCUCUCUUUUGGGUUCUGUUGUGCUUUUUCCUAUAGGGAAACAAUAGAGGUACUUGAGGGCCACUCGUUUAGACGUGGGUGAAGUGGUUCUCCCCUAGGUCUAUCUGUUUUCUUGUGCUGUGGAGGAUUGAGAUUCCUAGGAAAGUUAAGUUCUUUAGUUGGCAAGUUUUACACGACCGUAAAAAGAAAAAAAACAGGAUGGAUAGGCUUAAGAGGAAGAUGCUCUCGCUUGUAGGUCCUUUCUUGUUGCAUUCUUUGUAGAAAAGGGAGGGAGAUCUGGACCACAUUCUGGGCAUUGUGAGUUUUCCAGCUUGGUUUGGAACUCUUUGUUUUAGACAUUUGGCGUUAGGGGGGACUUGACAUAGAGAUGUGUGUGCGUUGCUUGAGGAGUUCCUUCUCAACCCUGACCAGUGAGAAGGGCACUUCCUUUGGGUCAUGGGGGUGUGUUCUAUUUUAUGGGUGGUGUGGGUGAGCAGAACAAUGGGGUUUUUAGGGGUGGGGAGAGGGUCCCCAGUGAGAUUUGGUCCCUUGUACGUUAUCAUGUUUCUUUGUGGGCCUUGAAUUCGAAGGAAUUUUGUAAUUAUUCUAUAGGUGUUAUUUUGCAUAGUUGGGUCCCUUUUUCUAGAGGGUUCCCUUCCUUUUAGUGGGCUGGCUUUUGGUUAGCCUCCUAUUCUCUCUUUUUUUUUCCUCAUUGAAAUUGGUUUUAUCAUCAUAUAAACAAAAAAUACUCACCCUCAAAGUCAAGUUUAUUUAUUUAUUUUGAAACGGAGACAAAUCUUUUUUAUUAAUAUGCACUCAAAGUACAAGAGAGUUAUACAAAGAGAGUAAUACAAAGUCAAGUUUAUUUGUACUCUGCUUAUAUUUGGAAAGUUGUUAAAGAUUCAAUGAAACUCCUCUAAAAAUAACUCAUUGUAGGUAUAAAAUCGAUUGACCAUACACUUCACUACUAAAAUGGCUAUCCUUCACGUAUUGUAUGAAUAUUUACUAUAUGAAUCCUGCGCAAUAUAGACAUUGGCUCCUUUUUUUUUGUUUUAUUAAUUUGUUUUUGUUUAUUAUAAUCAUAAUGAACUUAGGUGAACCCUAAUACUUUCCAUCUUUACAUUUACACUAGAGUUUUUUCACAAUCUUUUGGUUCAUAAUUUUGUCGACCCUUUGAUUGGGUUUGAGUUGUUUGACUUUUUUUGCUAGUUUCUUGUUUGUAGGUUUGGAAUCUUUGUAGUUUUAAUGUAAUUUAUUUAUUAGCAUUGUGUUAGAUACCUACAUUUGUAUACAUGGGUUUAUAUUGUAUAAGGGUAAUUAGAUUAGUAUAGGGUUAGGGGUAUAAGGGUAAUUAGAUACUUAGGAAGUUACUAGUAGUUAUUGUGUAAGUGUGGUUACUAGUAGCUAUUAUGUGUGGUUACUAGGGUGGUUACAUCUUGUUAUAAAUGGAGGGAGGGUAAGUGAGAGAGAGAGGUUAUUAUGUGGAGUGAUUUAGGGCUUGGGUGAGAGUACUCAAGAGGGAGGUUCCAAGUGCCUUAUACUUGGGUUUAUCUUGUAUUUUCUUAUAGUUCAUUAUAAUAAAUUAAUAUCUUGUUCUUGUUAGCAACUUUCUAACACAUUGUUAAUUUUGCCAAUAGCUCAUAUCUCCCUUUGUAAUUAGAUCUUUUAAUGAGUAUUAAUAAUUGCUAGGCUCUUCUUUAUUAGUUUUGUGGGUGGGGGUUUCCUCAACCCUUUCCUCUUAGAUGGUCCUUCUUGGCUUUUUUUGUUGAAUAUACAUAUGCUUUUCUUAUUAGAAAAAGAGAUUUACUUAUGAUUUUAGACAUCAGUCUCUGAUUAUUACCUAAUAUGAGUUACUAUUGCUCUUUAGGUCUUCCAAUGCGUAAAUGCAACUUGUGGUUAUUUUUAUCAUCCUAAAUGUAUUUCAAGAUUGCUUCAUCCGGAGAAUAAAGUUGCCGCUGGAGACCUUGAGAAGAAGAUUGCAUCUGGAGAAUCUUUCUCAUGCCCUGUGCAUAAGUGCUCUGUUUGUGCGCUCGGCGAAAAUAAGAAAAUAUGGGAACUACAGUUUGCUGUUUGUCGACGGUGUCCAAAAUCAUACCACAGGAAAUGCUUACCAAGGUAUCCUUUGAAUUUCUAUAUAGUGAAUCAGAGUGUAAUUUUUUAAGUUCUGGUGCUUAAUUGGUUAAAGAAUGCAUUGUUUUUGUUAGGAAAAUCACUUUUGAAGGUUCUGAGGAUGGUGAAACCCCGACCAGGGCAUGGGAAAAGCUAUUACCUAAUCGCAUUUUGAUAUAUUGCUUGUAAGAUUGCUGUGUCAGCUGUUACUACUAUUUCCUUUAAUCAGUAUUGGCCUAUUAAUGUUUUUUUUUCAUUUAAUUUGACCAGGGACCAGAUUGAUGAAGAAAUUGAGACUCCUGCUAGAGACCAUAUAAAAUUUCCUGGUCUUGAAGAGAGUAGGCUUCCCAUUCAGAAAAGGAAACUUCCUAUCAGUGAUACAAGACGAGGGAAGACGAUAGUUUUUCGUGGGAGUAGGGAGAAUGUUGUAUCAAAGAAGGGAUCUAUGCCAGAUGACCUUCAGGGAAAAUCUGCUGCAAAAGUAUCCAAAUCAUUUGAGAGGUCCUCAUCUGAUGGGAAGCUUCUUGGUAAAGUGACUGCGAAAUCAUUGUGGAGUUCUGAGUCUAAAAAUGUGAAAUUGGGUAACAUUUCAAGAAACUCUUUGAAUCAAAAAGGAGAAUCUGUCCUCAUGGACAUUGAUAAGACGAUCAAAGUGAAAAAAUCCUCCUUAGUUGGCAAGUCUGCCAUACCAACCAAGAGAUUUGAUCCAAGUAAGAUUUACAAGGAGGAUAGAAGUGGGAUGCUCCUAUUAGAUGCCAAUUCGGAGAGGAGGUAACUGCCAUUUGUACUUCACAUUUGGUUUUGAUGCCCUCACCCUUAAAAAAUGAAUUAAGGAAUGACAACAGUUAUAAACUUCCCUAAAGUGCACGCUUGCAUGUUUGGUAAAGUGGAUUUGUUUCUAAAAUAUUCUUUCUUUUAACCUAGGUUAAUGGACAUGAUGAAAAAUGUUGCAUCGUCAAUUACUUUGGAAGACGUAAUUAAGAAGCACAAAGUCCCAUCUACUCAUGCAUAUUCUUUAAAACAUGUAGUGGACAAGACAAUUAAGAUGGGGAAGUUGGAAGGGUCAGUUGUGGUAAGAAAAUUAUUAACUUUUGUAUCCUUAAAGUGAUCUCGUGGUUUCUUAUCCCUUAAUGGUCUACUGUUUUGGUUGUUAGGUUUUCGAGCUGCUCUGCGCAAGCUUGAGGAAGGAUGUUGCAUUGAGGAUGCAGAAGCUGUUUGUGAGCCUGAAGUUCUUAACCACAUAUUUAAGUGGAAGGUGCUUACAAUUUCUUAUUGCACUGUUCUAAAGAAAUUUCUUAGGCUUUUAUUUGCUCAGCUGCUUUGACGAAAUUUUUGACAAAGCAUGGUCUUAUACUGACUAAUAUUUUGUGUUUUCGAAGUUUUGAACUAUUUUGUGCUUUCAUCUUAGACAUUCGGCCCCUGCUCUCUAUUUUCCUGUUUACAUCUUUUUCCUUAUGCUGAAUCAUUUGGUGGCAGAUGCCUUUUCUCGUUUUAGUAGCUCUAGGAUAUUGUUGGGAUUCUGUCAUUUGUUGUUUGAUAGAGAAGCAACUGACAUAGUGGCUCUUGUAUCCUCGAACAAGACAUUUGAUAUUAAUACGAAGGAGAAGGAUUGUUUUUUUUGGAGCUUGAAUCCUUCUAAAAGUAUUUCUUGUAGUUCCCUCUUUUGGAGCUUUUGUGAAAAUUUUAAGAAUGUAGUUCCCUCUUUUAGAGAUUUUGUAAAAUUUUUCUAGAAGACUUAGCACUUCUGUUUGUGGUAAGUCAAUCAUGGAAGACUUCUACAGAUAUUUCUUUUAAAAAGGAGACAGCCUCUUUAUUAAUAUUAAUAUAAUAAUAAUGAGACAAAAGCUCAUAAUACAAAAGAAUUAUACAAUGAGCAUGUAAGCAUGGAUCGGGGGUGCACCUGGACAUCUCAACUAGGUUGACACCCCCUUAACACCCUCAUCAUAUCCAACCAAGCUAAAACCCGUAACAAAGGAGUAAUGGCUAAAGGCAAAACAAACACAAAAGAAGUACAGGGAAAUACAAAUACAAAUACAAGACUAAACAUCCUUCUAAAUAAAAGGCGACCAAAAACUUGCACCAAGACAAACUCGAGAUCAUAGGAGGAAGAACACUAUGAGGAGGCUGAAAAGAGGAAGACUUUUACAGAUUAGAUUGGUUUUUAGAAAGAUGAUCCUUUUUGUAGGGCUGCUUUUUCACAUUCUGUAUUGGUGGGCAGAAAAAAGACUUCAAUCAUAUCUUUUUGAAUCAUGACUUUGUUUGGUUAGUUUGGAGUUGUUUCUAUGAGGUGUUUGACUUUCCUUUUGCUAGACACAUGCUGUGUUUUAGAAAGCCUCCUAGGCGCAUGCAUAGUGCCUCGCCUUGCACACAAGUGCAUCAGAUGUGGUGCUUUCAGUGAAGCCCUACGGCCCAAAGUCCUAGGCAUUGGGUUUUUUUUUUCAUUAUUUUAAAAAAGUAAUUAUUAGGGUUUUUUCCUUCCAUAUUAAUUAUAAAUAAUAAAAUUUGCUUGGCCUAAAUGGAAUAUUUUUUUUCCUAUGGUUACUUUUAUUUUUUUCUUUUAUAUUCCCAAUUCAACUAUCCUCUUUUUUAUCUUGUAUUUUUAUAUUAUCUUGUAUUAUAUAUAGAGAGACUGCACCUUAAAAAAAAAACCCACAUUUUUUUAACGCCUUGCACUUAAGCCCUAAAAGACUAUUGUGCUUUAUUAUGCCUUGAGCAUUGAAAAACAUUAGACACAGAGAUCACGGAGAUGAUUGAGGAGUUUCUUCUUCAUCUGUCCUCUAGGUUGUAAUUUAUUUGACUGGAGUUUCUUUUUAAUUGGAUUCACUUGUGUGAGCUUUGAUUUUUCUUUUUUAGAUUGAAAAACAAGUUGAUCCUUUAGAUUUUUUUUGAAAAGGAAACAACCUCAUUUAUUAAUAAAUGAACAAUGAAACUAAAUCUUAUAGUAUAAGAGGAUUAUACGAUGAGCAUUCAAACCAAGGAUAAGGAUGUGCAUUUGAGCAUCCCAGCUAAGUUGACACCCUCUUAGUAUCCUUAUCAUAUCCUACAUAAUAAAAAGAUAGAACAACUAAUAACGUCCAAGUGCAGGACUAACCACAACCAAUACAACUCAAAAAGGACAUAAGAAACAACUUCUAACCAGACUAGGAAUUAAAAAUACAGCCAGACAAAGAAAGAUUCUGAAACGGUUGGAAACACCAGAGGCUGUGAGCCAAAUCUGAAUCAUCAACAAGGAGGAAAGUUAAAAGGCCUGCCAGUUUAGUAAGAUAUAUUGCAUAGAGAAGUCUUUAAAUUGUUUUCGUAGAGAGCAUCACAAAGAGGCACUCAGACGUGCGCACUCGUAUCUAUUGAACCAAGAGGAGGCUUUAUUGUGGAAGACUCGCAGAUUUCUCUCAAACCACAGUUCCAACAAAAUUUCCUUGACGGUAUUGCACCAAAGCAAGGAGGCAUUUUUUCAUCAUAACCGGACCAAGAAGUAACUGUCUAACAUUAUUCUUGCAUUCUUUAUCAAGGUCUCAGCUGAGAUUAAAGGUGUGAAAGAGUUUACUCCUACACUUGGCAGCAUAUACACAUUCAAACAAGUGCUGGAGUUCCGCAUGAAAUUUGAGAUAGAAUGGGCAUAUAUGUGGCGAAAUAUAAUGAGUGGGUAACUUCUUUGCAUAAUGGAUGCACAAAUUGAACUCCUGAACAACAUAAUCGAUAGAGUUAUACUUACCUCGGGCUUUUAGAUUUCUGAAGGCUUUUUUCCAACUGUAGGUCCAUCGGAGUGGCAAGAGACAAGUGCUUCGAUAAUGACUUUACUGAAAAAACCCCAUUAGUUUCCAUUAACCAGAUUCUUUUAUUCUCAAUAUUGGAUAAUCUUGUCCUUUCCAAGGAGCCCAGGAGAAGUUGAAAAUUAGAGAUUUCAAGCUCCUAACAAUCUUCUGAAAUCAAGAAACCCAGAGGAAGUGGAGGCGUUCCAAUGUUCUACAACCGAGCCUUUUGGUUUAAGGGCAAUUCUGUACAGCUUGGGAGUGUGGUCUUCAAAGCAAUUCUAUCCAUUCAUGGAUCCAACCAAAACAAAAUUUUGUCACCCUUUCCAACUUUAAAAGCUGCCACACUAUCUAGAAAUAUUUAUCCAAGGGCUUCUUAAACUUGAAUUUUCUUUGCCACUUGUGUGCCACUGGAAGAGGCUACUCCCGUGAAUACUACAAACCACCUUAUACCAUAGAGAGUUUUGUUCUGCCAUGAACCUCCACCUCCACUUGGCAAGAAGAGUAAUGUUUCUAAAUUUCAGCUUGUCCAGCCCAAGGCCCCCAUCUCCUUGGGGUUUGGAAACUAAUUCCCAUUUCACUAGGUGGUUCAACUUGCUACCGUUGUUCCCUUCUCAAAAGAAGUUCCUCCAUGGUUCUUUCAAUGGAAUUAGAGAUUUUUUGGCAUGAGGAAUGUUUAGCAAUUCCUCAUGGAUGCCGCUAAGGAGAUCUUACUUUCCCCAAUAUUAAUUCCGCAUAUAGAUGACUUUUCCCAAUUUAUCUUUUGCCCAUAACACUAAAAUAUUUCAAGCGUCUUUUUAACGUUUUCAUGAAUAACUUCAUCAAACUUGGAAAAUAUUAAGGUGUUGUCUGCAAAUUGAAGGAGGGGAACAUGAACAUUGUUCUUUCCUACCAUGAAACCUUCAUACAAACCGUUCAAGUGUAGAUUUGAGAUGAAACUACUAAGCACUUCGCUAACCAGAAGAAAAGAAAGAGGGAAAGGGGAUCCCCUUGCUUUAACCCUCUUGAGGCUUGAAUUCUUCCUCUGGGCCUCCCAUUGACGAAUUCUGAAUACUUAGGGUUUUUAACACAAUCCAUGAUCAAUCCAGCACACAAGCAGCAGAGACAGCGGAGUUUGAAGGCGUUUUCGGAGGCAGUGUCUGUUCCUAACAGAGAAAACUAGGGUUUUCACGACUAUGUCUUGCUUGGAUAUACAGCAAGUUCUCAAUGAUUACAAAACCAAAGACCCACUCACCAUCACUACUCUCAAGCUCAAUCAAAAGGCUCUUUCUGAUAUAAAUGGUUUGUCCCUUUUCAAAAACUUGGAGAAGCUUGAUUUGACAUUCAACAAUCUCACAUCGCUUCAGGGGUUGGAGUCAUGCACCAAUUUGAAGUGGCUCUCAGUUGUACAAAACAAACUUGAUAACUUAAAAGGAAUUGAAGGGCUUUCUAGACUUAAUGUAUUAAAUGCGGGAAAGAAUAAGCUUCGGUCAAUGGACGAAAUUAGACCCCUUGUUGGCUUUUGUGCUUUGAUUUUGAAUGACAAUGAGAUUGCUUCUAUUUGCAAGCUUGAUCAGAUGAAGAACCUGAAUACUCUGGUUCUUUCUAGAAAUCCAAUCCACAGUAUUGGAGAUUCUCUGUUGAAAGUGAAAUCAAUGAAAAAGCUAUCCCUUUCUAACUGCAAACAUCAAUCUAUUGAAUCCUCAAGUUUUGUAUCGAACUUAAAGAGCUUAGACUUGCUCACAAUGAAAUCAGGAUGCUCCCAAUGCUUUGGCUCAUAACAAGAAGUUGUUGAAUUUGGAUUUGGGAAAUAAUGUCAUCAUGAGAUGGUCAGAUUUAAAGGUAUUGAGUUCAUUAGGCUAUCUGAGGAAUAUUUAUGUUCGAGGGAAUCCUAUUGGAUAAAAAGAUUUGUCGACUGGUUCCAGGCUUGCGUGUAUUGAAUGCGAGAUCAAUUGAUAAAUGCAUUAAGAAUGAGAAUGAUAAUGGGAGUGAUAAAGAAGACGACACUCCAAUCAGGAGCCUAGAUCGUCAAAAAAGAAAAAGGAUAGAAAACUGAAUGGGAAUGUUGAAACACACCCGUCUGUUCAAGGCACUGAUGGCAAACUUGAUCAUACUAAUGGUGCUGAUGUGGACAGUUGGAACGCAAAAAACGUAAGAUGGAUAAGGUCACCAGGGAGGAGAAAGUAAUUCCAUCUCUUGACAAUAAGAUAAAUCUCGGUACCAAUGAUAUUGAUAAGGAAAAGAAGACUUCAAAGCAGAAAAGAACAAAAAGCAAUAAGGAGCCAUCUUUGCCAAUACACAAGGAGACACUUACCAAGAUUGAAAACCAUAAGAAGAAAGCAAAGAAGGAAGGGAAAGGCAGAUUGGUGUUAUUGACGACGCUGAAGUGCCAUUUGAACAGCUUUUCGGAGAUGAUCUUAUUGAAGACAUGGAUGCUGUUCUCCAAAAGGUUGGUGAGAAAGAAGUAGAGGAGAUGAUUUUAAAGCCUAACUUGGCAUCAUUUUCAGCUAAUAGAAAGGAAUCUAAAAGCCAAGAUCGAGUUGGAAGGUUACAAAUAUCCCCAAUAGUUGAAAUUGGAAUGGACGGAAUAUCAACAUGGGGGGAUGAGUAAUUGCAAUGCAAAGGCAUUCAGUUACUUGGGAAAAUUUGGAUCAAUCAUGGCAGCACCGUGGUCGGACAGGUGUGGAAUGCAGUAAUAGAAAAAGAGAAUGGGUUUUAGAAACUCAUUUCAGUUGUUUGUCUUGCAAUGAGCUAUGAAGCGUAAGCUACUGUUGUUGGGAGACUUGACUUUUGAUUUGGGGGAGUUCAUGAGAUGGAGGAUUUUUACUUUUCUGACUUAAACAAGUGACAUGCCAAAAGAUUUUGUAGCUUGUUGGUACCUGAGCAAGUUCUAAUUUGAAACUUACAUAUUUCUUCUUCACAGCCUUAAAAUAGUGCAUAAUUAGAACUGUUAAUGCCUAAAUUGAAACAGAGGUGUUUGGGGGUAUAUUAUUUCAGUUUUUAUAUUAUUUCUAUAAUAGAGUUUGCCUUGUGUCUCUUAAAAAAAAAACAACAACAAUCCAUGAUCGAAGAGAUGAUCCAUCAAUGAUUGAAAUUUUUCUGCUUCAAAAUUCUUUCCAAGAAACCCCAAUCAACUCGAUCAAAUGCCUCUCCAAGGUCCAGUUUGUAAUCCAUCCUUGCUUUUUUGGACCUAUAAUACUCCACAACUUUAUUUGCAAUAAGUACAGGAUCCAGAAUUUGGCGGCCAUCCAAAAAGGCACUUUGAGUGAGAGCUCUAAUACUGGGCAUAAUUAUCUUCAUUUUUCAGCAAGCACUUUUGCAAUCAAUUUGUACAGCAAAGUAGUGAAACUUAUGGGCCGGAAAUUAAUUACCUUUACUGCAUCUUCCUUUUUCUUGAUCAAGCAAAUAAAUUUCUCCUUUACAUGCAUUUAGUUUCCCAGUCCCAUAGAACUCAUUGAAUAAUUUACAAAGAUUGUCCUUGAGGAGAUCCCAAAAUUUGAUGAAGAAUUCUACUGUGAAGCUAUCCGGACCUGGAGCCUCUGUUUCUUCCCAUUGAUUUUAAUGCUGCCCUGAUCUCCACCAAACUAAAUUUUGAAAUAAGCCUUUUAUUUUGAUCUGCGAAACUACAAACCAAUAAAAAAGGAGGUGUGAGGAGAUUUCUCAUAGAGGGUGCUGUAGAAAUCAAGUAUUAAAUGUUCAAUUUCAAAGAAUAAAGUGGUUGGGUUUCCUUGAUUAUUAACAAGCUUCGGAAUUAGACUUCUUUUUUUUUUUUUUUUUUCCACCAUGAGAACGAUGGAAGAAACUCAUAUUUUUGUUCCCCAAUUUCAGCCAAGUCAACUUAGUUUUCUGGAUUAUAUCUCUUUCCUCCCUUCUACAAAGAGCUAGAAGAUCCACUCUCUUAUUAACAAUAAGUGAUCCCCUGUGCACGUAUCCGGUUGAUCAUAUUUUUUCUCUUCUAGUGCGAUGGCUUUUAAUAAGGUUUCUUCAUGACUUUUCUGUUUUCUUUCAUAAUCUGAAUGCCAUGAUUUGAGUUGACCCUUAAUGUUUUGGAGUUGAGUUGAUAAGGCAAAGCCCAUCCAGCCCGGAGGAGUGCUUGUGGUUAAUGAAUUUUCAAUAAAUUGGCAGCAAUGCUUGUCUAGCAACCAGCUGUUGCAAAAUCGAAAAGGGGAAGGCUCCCACUCGAAUGCCCCUGCUUCUAAUAAAAAAGGGAAGUGGUUUAAGGAGAUCCUUACUUGACGAGUUACACGUGUGUUCGCAAAAGCCUUGUCCCGGUCAAAAGUAACUAAAAAUCUGUCAAGCAAUGAUCUCAAAACUACUCUUCCUUCUCUUGACCAUGUUAAUUUUCUGUUCAGUAAAAUAACUUCAAUGAGUUUCCAUUCUUCAAUGAAUUUAUUGAAUUUCCUCAUUCAUGCCACAAGUCAUUCUACUUGCUGGAAAUCGCUCCCUUUGAUUUGGUCAUAUUAAAAUCCCCCCCAAACACCAAGCUUCUAUACAAUAACCAAUGAGGGAGAGCAGCUCUGACCAAAUGAAUUUUCCCUCUGUAAUCAGUAGGUCCAUAAAUAUUGGUUACCCAACACAACUUAUUGCACAUUGUUCUGCAUUUAACUGACAGUGAGUGGCCCCUUUCAAUACUUCAAUAAAAGAAAAUUUACUUUCAUCUCACUUGGUUAACAUUCUUCCUGAUUUUCCAUGAGCUUCAAGAAAGAUUCCAGUUUUUUGAUCUCCAAGUGGAUUGAAAACAAAGUAUUGACCCAUUCCAAUCUUGAAAGAAAUAUGGGAAAAAGGAAGAUGACAAUAGGCAGUAGCUUAUAAUCCUUUUCCGUGGGAUAUAUGAGGAAGACUUGACACUGAGAAUAGGCUUUUGGUUGGAAAUGUGAGGAGCUAUAAUAAGCUGUGAGCACCUUCCACCCAACAGAAAACUUUUGCUUGUAAUAUCUUUGAAUCCACUUGGUCAAAAGGGCCUUAGUAUCUCUCCACCUGGCUGCUGUUAGCUUGCACUGCUAUUUGGAUUCUUGGUUGUGGCCUCUUGAUCCUACUUCUGGUUUUACUGUUAGAUCCCUUAUAGCUGACUUAGUGGGCACGGUUGAUCCAUUAUUGUCUGAUUUUUGUUCUGUGAUUUGGAAAGAUAGAUUUUCCUAAAACGAUGAAAAUUUUUCUUUAAGAUCUUAGUUGGGGUGCCAUCAAUACUGCUGAUUGUCUUCCACGUUGCAUGCUUUAUAUGUCUAUUUCUCCUUCUUGGUGUCACAUGUGUUGCUGCUACGCUGAAUCUUCGAUCCAUUUGUUUUUCCAUUUUCCUCUUGCUGCCAAUUUUUGGGAUAUUCUUUUUAGGCUUUUUGAUGGUCUUAUACGUGUCUUAAUAACAUUUUGGACACAUUGGCUUCUCUUCUGGUGGGUCAACCCUUUGGUGGUACAAAGAUGACACUUUGGUUGACAUGCGGCGUUCUUUUGGUAUCUGUGGGGUGAAAGGAAUAAGUGGCUUUUUCAUGAUUCUUCUUGUUCAAAUAUUUUAUGGAAUUUGUUCUGUCUAUUUCUUUUCCUUGGUGUAAAGCUAAGCCCCCCUCUCUCUAUAGAUAAUCUAUUUUAGUUAACAAUUGGACAUCCUUCUCUUCUAUAAGUUCCUUUAGGUGUUUGGGGUUUUCCCCAGAUUUCAUUUAUAAAUGAAAUGGUUUUUUUUACAAUUGGACUUCUCUUCUGUACUGGGUAUCACCCGAACCCCCUUGCAAAAUUAGUUUCUUCACAUUAUCCCUCUUCACAAAGUGGGAGGAGGCAUUUAUGAAUAUUUUUAAAGUGAAUACUUCUUUGAUGUCCUGACUUAUUAAAAGUGUAUUGAAUUUUCAGAUCGCAAAGAACAUGGAAGUGUUUAUAUGGUCCUGAGAUUAUAAGAGUCUUAAUAAUCAGGAUAGGCUUCAGAAUUUGAUGAGGUUUAACCUUUUUGCCUGUUCAUAUGCAGUUUGUAUAUGGAAAAGGAGGACAAUAUUUAUCACCUUUUUCCUCAUUGCUUCUUUGCUUCCAAGGGAAGAAGCUUUCUGCUUAGUACCUUCAGAUUUCCGCUUGUCUUUCUAAUUCUAAUCAUAUUGAUGACUGGCUUUCUCAAGUGAAGUUGAAGUCCUUUGGGGUAUGCUGUCGGGGCAUUCCUUUAGUUGCGUUGGCUUGAAAGUAACUUUAAACUUUUUGAAGCUAAGUCUUCUGAUAUAACUUCUUUUGGUGGAAAUUUACAACUCAUCUCCUUGUGGUGGGCUCAUAGUUAUAGCCAAUUCUUUUGCAAUUAUCCAAUUUCUUUGCAUCACAACAAUUGGUCAAAUUUUCUGCAAUUAGUUUUUUUGGGAUGGGGUUCACUUUUCACCGUCCCUAAGCUGUUUCUACUUCGCUUUUGUCUGAUGAUGUCUCUUAUAAAACAUCAAUGUGUGAUAGCAGAAGGAAAUUGUUAGCAGCCGGUCUUUUUUGCUGUCCAGACAUAUGGACGUGUUUUCUCCAUUAUUUUUCCUGUUUAAUUUUUUCUCGCUCUCAUUAUUUUUUCCAUUUCAUAGUCCUUGUAAAUACUAAAAUGUCUUCUGCAAUGCAGAUUGUUGAUAGGCUUCAUUGGUACAUAGAGAAAGGCAAUACAGUAAGUCCAUUAUGUUGAUUUGUUUGAUUUUUAUUAUAUUGAGCAGAAUUCGUUAUUUAUUUUUCUUAGUGCAACAUUUUCUUUCAAUGCAUUUCAUUGUUAGGAGGCUAUCUGUUACCUUAAAUAUUCUUUAGAUUCAUUAUGCACUCCACAAUCUCACAAAAAGUACAAGCCUCGUAUGUUAUCCUUUUGAACUCCUAUGAUUGUGAAAGUUGAGAGAUGUUUACAAUCAUGGAACCACUCGGGGAGGGGGGGGGGGGGGGGUUCAUCUAACUCUUCUACAAGCAACCCUUUCAAACUCCCCACGUCCUACUUAUCCUUAUUUACAAAAAGAAAGGUAUCGUCUAUGAUUGCAGGAUUGAAAGAUUUUAGAAUAAAAAAUAGAAGCCAUGUUAGAUAUUCUCUUCGAAUUGUGCUCAGGGCAGCAAGUUAAUUGGGAGAAGUAAGCAUUAUAUGGAGGCAAUAUUGAUGAGGCUACAUUGAUCUCUACUUCUUCAAGGCUGAAUUGGGAGGCUGGUAAUUGCCUUUAUAUAUCUUGGCUUACCUCUGGUGGUUAUUCUAAACAGCAGUCUUUUUGGCAGCCUGUUAUAGAUAAAGUCCAUUUGAAACUCGAUAAAUGGAAAAGGGUAUAACUUGUCCAGAGGGGCCGUUUAACUUUUUUUUUUUUUUAAGAUAAGAAACAUUUCAUUGAUAAAUAAAAUCUGUACAACAUUUUCUACUCUGGGUAAAAUGGUUUCUUGUUAGAAAAAUCCUACUUGUUUGAAACCUUAAAAAGUGUCAUCUCUCCAUUGGGUACAUCCAAAUAUAAUGGUACAAAUAUGUGCUAUAAAAAGUUUCUUUAUCCUAUGACCAUUUUUUUCUUUAAAGAUAUGUAAGAAGUGACACUGAACUGUGUCCUUUGUAGCUAUGAUGCCCAAACAAUAAUCAGCUCGUUUGUAUUUAUAUUCAUCGUUAUAGACCUCUUGAAUUGUCUAUUUACCUAUAUUCCUAUUUAAUUUCUUUGGUUUUUGUGUGAUUCAACUUUAUGCAACCCUCAUGUAUCUCUCUUUUUGUUGAUGAAAGUUCUUAUUUUUCACAAAAGAGAAGAAUCAAACUUGUAUACGUUCCUAUUGCCUGGUAUUUUCUGUGAAUUUGACCAUAGUAGUUCACAGAAAAUUCACAUUCACAGAAAAUACCAGGCAACAGGAACGUAUACAAGUUUGAUUCUUCUCUUUGUGAAAAAUAAGAACUUCAUCACAAAAAGAGGAUACAUGAGGGUUGCAUAAAGUUGAAUCACACAAAAACCAAAGAAAUUAAAUUAAGCAUCCAAACGGACCCCCAAGAUUAAGGUUGAAUCAACAAAACCUUGAAUGGAAAAUUUCGGAGUCUCAAUCCUCAAAUUAACACUUGAACCUUCAAACAAAAAUAAUUUAACUCAUUCCAUUGUAAACUUAUUUAGAUCCAAAAAAUAUUCAUUUGGGCAUACCAAACCAACACAGUCAAGAGAUACCAAAAAGCAAACUGUGGCUUAAACUAAGGUAGAAAUGGCACGCGGCUCUGGGGCAGGAGAAUCGACUUGGCAGUCAGCUCGGUGCACAACUCACAAAAGGAGAAAGAAUCGGCUGUGACAAGCGCGAUUCGAAGGAGUAGAUAAGUGCUCUGUGAUGCACAGAUCGACUUGCUCAAGCAAGGGUUCGUUUAACAAUUGCCGGCAAUGAGAUCUGGGUGGCACGAGACAAAACUUAACGACGGUAAGGCUUAACGAAAACGUUCAAAAACUAGAUGAUUGAUGAAAUGAAAAGAGAGAGAUUCCUCGGCUUCACCUACAUGCAAACGUAGGAGGUGGGGUGCAUAGUCGGCUUGUACGACUUCGUCACUAAGGAACAAAGGAGGAAUGACGGUGUCAACAAACGACGAGCGGUGAUCCUUGCAACGGAGCACGAUGGCGGCUGGGGUUUGUGAAGAAUUAAGAAGAUGAUGAAUAGUUCCCUUUUUUGCACGUUUCACAAGGGUUAAUUAUAUAUAAUAAUAAUAAUGAUAUUUAUUAUUAUUAUCAUUAUUCCUUUUCUU